GCAAUAACAGGUCUAAUUUUAUUGUGGGCCUUAUCACCUUCUCUGUUUUCUUCUAUUUUUCCUAGAAACUAACGUCAUCAAGAUUUCAGAAAAAAAUCUGUGGUAAUUUCACAAGAUAUACUAGUAUUUGUUCAAAUGUGCUGUGACUGUACAGGCUUAAUGCCCUUUUUCUUGUUUUUAUUUUUGCUCAUCUUUUUCUUUUAUUCUUAAUAUUGUUUCCAUGUUCAUUAAUAUGUUCAAGUAGUUAUAACUCGACUUUCAAAUUAAGGGUUCUCAAAUGCUGCAUUUACAAGAGUAGCAGCAAAAUGCAAAAGUUGGAGCGUAGGUUUGGUUGUGUUCUUGUGGGAUCUAUCUAACGAAUCAUUUGAAUUUGUAUCCUUGAUUCCCUUGAUGAAGGAAACUCUUAUCCAAGUACCUAAGCUAAAACUAAUUAAAUGAAAUAUCUGUUUUUGUGAGGGUUUUAACUCAAAACUCCCCAGCAGCUUAGAAUUGGGUAGGUGCAGUCCUGUUGACCCUUCAGAUGUUGGGAUGUUAACCUGUACUCUGAAGGAAUAAAACAGGGGCAUGGCCAUUUGGCUUGCCAUUUAACGUGCUUUCCUUUUAAAAGGUCUAGUAUAUGACAACCCUUUCCUAUAUGUUUUCUUUAGCUUGAACGAGCCAUUCUUUCUCACCAAUAAAAGACUGAUCAGUUAUCUGAAAAUUGUCUUUCUUGUACAUUAAACUUGUAAUUUAUGAAUCAUGGAUAUCGCUACUGUAUAUCACUACAACAUGAUGUGGAUACAUCCAUUCAAAAAAUUGAAAACAGAAAGAGAGAUUGUGACAUUAAUAUGAUAAUAGAAAUAUUUUUAUUAUGUAAUAUUGUAUAAUGCUGUUUGCAAUUUACGUCAUGAUAAAUAAUGACAGUUUAUUAUCUAGCAUCCUCGUACCCAUAUAAAAGAAAUUUAUAUAGUAAAUUGGUAUUUCAACAAUGUAGAAAAGACAACAAGAACCUUUGACAAAUGGAGCAAGAUCACUGUUUCGGUGACAAUUAUUUGCAAAUCAAUGCCUAAUACGAAGAACGUAAGAUAGUAUAUGAAACCAUAUAGUUCAUUUAAAAUUAGAAGACCAACAUCUAAACAAAGCAAAGUUAUAUGAAAAAGUAUCCAUGAAGUAUUUCUGAGUGUCCUAACUGAUGACCCUUUUUAAAGAUUAAAAAAUGUAUAAUUCAAGGCUCAAGCAGGUAUCCAACAUAUGCUUAACAAUUAUCUCACACACAUCCAAUAUGGAUAUAGAAGCAAUUCAAAGUGUUCAUGUUUCAAGGAUUAUGCUUUGCUACUUUGAGUUGAGGCGUAUUACAUAGAUCCAAUCAAAUAAGUAACUGCAGCUAUUAGUUGCUCUGAGUCUUGUUUCUAUUUUCUUGAUCAGGGUUGUGAAUAUAUGGCAAUGACCAUUGUUAUUCUACCUUGUCUUAAGGUUUCUGACGUGUGCCUAAUAUGGGUUUAAUAUUUGUUUGCACUUCAACUGUAGGUUUAUUCUUAUGAUUAUAUCUUGUGAUGUGGUCAUACUAGAGUUACUUUAUUUAUUUUUUGAUAGGUUAUGCUGGGUGUUGACCGUCUUGACAUGAUCAAGGGGAUUCCGCAAAAGAUUUUGGCCUUUGAAAAGUUCCUAGAAGAAAAUCCAUCAUGGCGUGACAGAGUAGUCUUGCUGCAAAUUGCUGUUCCAACAAGAACUGAUGUCCCUGAAUGUAUGUACUAUGUAUCAUGUUAUUCAGUAGUUUGUGUGAUUCUACAUGGUAGCAGAGAUUUCUUAAGAAAUUUGUCCUUGGCCCCAAUACUAUUCUUGUUUACUUUGCUUGGUACCAAUACUAUUCUUGUUUACUUUCUCAUCAAGUUUCCUUUUCUCAUAGCUACAUGGAACUAGGAGUAGAUUCUAUGUAUACUUUGUUUUGUAUGAUUUUACUUAUGAAUUCAACACUCUUUUAAAAAGGGUCUACAUCGAGCAGGGAUUGCCAUGACCAGCAUGAGUCAUGACAUAUUGUUCUAGAAGGAUAUUGUUAUGCAUCAUGCUGGCCUUUGUUGGAGGACCUGACUUAUGGCUUGGCCAACUUUUGUCCCAUACCAACUCGCAGAUCAGGAUACUGAUCCAUAUGGCACAAGAUCAUGUUGUGCUCUGUUCCAUGAAAUGACUAUCUGUCAAGCACUUAGAUUCCUCAGAAUAUGCUCGUGUAUUUUACAACAUUCUUGAUGCAUUUUGAUUACAUCGAACCUCAACGUGUCAUGGGAAAGGAGAUUAGAGGUAUUUAUGUUGUAUAUGUGAAAAUUUGUGAAAGACUAAUGUGCUAAGACAUUCAGUAAUUCUCAAUCAACCAUUCAUACAACUAGAGCGCAAAGAACAACAGGUUAGAUGUUUAGGUUCAGAAACUUGACAUAUGGCUCAUAUACUUCUUGCCCACAAAUUUAGUUAUUUUAAAUCAACCAUGCAUACAAUUUGAAAUGGAGUAAUCAUCAUAUUAUAUUGAGUAACCCUUUUAUAGUGGCAUUAGAACUCUCUUACCACUGAUAUUUUUUCCAAAAUAUUAGACUUCUAAUAUCACAUCAAUUUUCUGAUAGUUACUUUUAUCAUUGGACAUUUUCAUAUGCAUUAUCAUCCAUUUGUUAUCUUGCAGAUAUUGUAAUAGUUAUACUUUUAUAGCUAUUUUAGUCAUUAUUUUUGUACUUCUAAAUUUCUGAUUGUAUGAACUAUGAAGUUAUAUGUUGAAUUGCAUGGGUGUACCAAUGUACUGCAUUGAUUUUAUUCUAAUCUUUGGCAUGUCUAAUUUUUGUAACAUUAUUUCUUAAUCAAGGUUUAAAAUUCUUGCAGGCAUAUGUCCAUUGUAUAUUAUGUUUGUUCUUGUACUGGUAAUGGAGGAAUGUAAUUGAUGGAUUCUAGUUUUCCAAAGAUUUAUCUAGUAUGAUGUGAAAUUUAUAAGUUUAUAUUUCUGAUGAUACUAGUGGUUUAUUGUCUUUUUCCUGCUUCUUGCAUCAUAUCAGAUUACAAACAGUAACUCUCAUAGGAAGUUGAGGGCAACAUGAAUCUAAAUUUAUAAUGAUUAUGUUUUCGUAUAUCCCAAGUGUUGAUAAUGUAGAAGAAACAAUCUAUGCUUCAUUGAUUUUCUGGUUCAAGGCAACUGGUUCUAAAUUACCUUUUGUUAAACAGAUCAAAAGCUUACUAGCCAGGUUCAUGAAAUUGUGGGUCGUAUAAAUGGCCGAUUUGGAACACUUACUGCUGUUCCGAUACAUCAUCUGGUUUGUCCCAACUGCUAUCCUUAUAGUUUUUACCAUCUCAUGUUUCUUUAAUCUCCUUAUUCAGUUGAAUUGUGGAAAAGAAUCUCAGUUUCUUUACUGGCGUUACAAUUUGUAGGAACUGUUCUAUAUUGACACUAUAAUUAUUACUGUUGCUCACUGCAGUGCUUGAGAACUGUGGGUUUUUCCUUUAUCUCAGUAUCCUGAUAAAUUUUUACCAUUAACAGAUUUGGAAUUGCUUUUAAACAUCAAUUCUGUUAACUGGUUAUCUCUGCUUUUUAGGUUGUUGAGUAGCAAGCAUUUACCUUUAUUAUGGAACCAUGAGAAUUGUAGGUUGGUUAAGCGACCAAAGGAGUGAAAGAAUGACGAGUAUGAAGCGAAGAUUGAUGGUAGGAAGGACUGACUAAGAAGACAUAUAGGAGAAUGGAAGAGGAGGUAUCUAGAAAAAGUCCCAGAAAGGUUUAGAAGUACGUAAGAUUUCACUUGACCUGGGUAGGUGCUUUUUGCCUAAUGGGUCAGAUGCCAGCUCUAACACAAACUGACAAAGCUUUGAACAGGUACAUAGAUUAAUUGUUUGAAUGACACUAUAUGGCAUAUAUGCUUUUGAGGUGUGCAUAGUUGAAAAUAUUCAUAAAGGACAUUUAUGUUAAUAUUCUUGUACAAGGUAUGCAAUUUCGUAUCGUACCGGAGUUUCGACGUUCGCUCGGUACGGUACAAAACCGUAUACCGAGCGGUAUAUAUAUAUAUAUAAAUUUUAUUUUUAUUUUCGUUCCGCCCGGUAACGGGCGGUCCGUGUACCGAUAAGCUGACGAACCGAUACGUACCGCCCAUAUCGGGUGGUAUUAUUCGAAAUUGCAUAUCUUGUUCUUGUAUACCUGAAGUUCUGACCUAUAUGUUUAGUGACUGAAAUAACAUGAUGCCUAGAAAACAGACAAGUUCAAACCAUGGUGUGCAACUCUUAUUUUAUCAACCUGUGUGCCAGAGACAAACUUGUUGGAAUUAUUAUACUAGAGGAUACUUGAUCAAUUAUAACCAUCAAUAGAACAUUCUAAACAAUAAUAUGGUAUGUGCACAUGUAAAGAUAAAUGUGGAUAGUUAAACUUUUAAAAGGCUUUUUUAUUACUUAGAUGCAGUAAUUUAAAAAGGUGCUCGGGCGAGGCGAGGCUUCAGCACCUCGUUUAAGGGCUAGGCGGCGCACUUCAAAGAGGCGUGCCUGGGCACUCACCUGAGACCAAGCGUCGGGCACUUCGGGCGAGCGCCCGGUUCAAUUAAGCAAACCGAACCAGACUUUUAAGUUUGGUUUGGUUAAAUAAUGUAUUUCUUACCUCAAAAGCCAUCCUUCACGCUCGUGCGACCUUGAGGAACCCUAGCGCUACUUCUGCCUCUGCCGUCGAUGCUUUCUGCCAUUGUCGUUGUACUAUCUGCAGCUUUCACCACUAUUGUCCGCAGCUUCCGUCGUUGUCGUUGCUGCUGUCCGCAGCUUCCAUCGCUACCGCUGCUGCUGUCCGCAGCUUCCAUCACUACCAUUGCUGCUGUCUGCAGCUUCUACCGUUGCCGCCGCCGCUAUUCAUAGCUUCCACUCUUGUCGCUACUGUCGUUCGCAACAUUGCCGCAACAACCUUAAACUAAUCCUCUGUUACCGGUAACAUUUUUUCUCUCUUCUAACUAUUGUUAACAGUAAGUAAUAUACUAUUAACAGUAUAUUUUUAAUUUAAUAUCAUAUUUUUAUUUAAAUAAUUAUAUUUUUAUUUAAAUAAAAAUAUUUUUAUUUAUUAUAUAUUUUGUAUAUUUUAGUAUUUUAGAGCGUCUCGUUUUGCUCGGGCGAGCGUCGAGCGCCUAGCACCUCGGGCGUUUUGGGACCUUGGCGCCUUUUGGUGCCUAGAACUUUUUAAAUUACUGUCUAGAUUCCUAUGAUUGAUUGCAUCUUAAAAUUGCUUUAUGAUGGAUUGAAUAACUAAUACCUAUAUAUCAAUGAUUAAAUUACAAUAAAAUACUCUUUAAGUCUUAUAUGAAUAUAAGCUUAUCUUGCAUGAAAUCAUACUCUGGCAAGAUCAAUGUCUCUUUUUAUCCAUUAAAGGGAGAUGGCGACCUUAUGCUCGAACCCUCUAGAUCAAUUGGUUGCCUGCUAGUAAUCGUAACGAAGUGUUGAAAAAAGAAAACGCAAUCUUUUCAUCAUGCCAAAUAGACAGGAUAAGAAUACUUUUAAUAUCUAAAUAUAUUAGUGUCAAGAUUAUGUGGUGGUUGAUUCUUGUUACUGAGAAAAACAUUCACGGGAUACUUUGUUCUGUCACUGGAAUAUUAAAUUUUAUGUACCUUUGGAAAUUUAUUUUGUUCCCACAACUAGUUGGGAUCAUUUAACAUGGCUGAGAAUUUUCUUCUGAGUUUGUCAACUUAUUACUUGCUAAUAAACAAGUUCCUAAUACUUUUAAUAAGAGCAUUAACUUGUAAUUUUAAGUUUUGAGAAUUCAAUAGCUUUUUGCUUUUUCUUUUUCAAAGUAAACUAUGUGACACCUAAGUGUUAGCAAGUACUGAAUUAUUUUCACAAUGCCUUUAUAUUGUUUAAGAAUGUAGAUUAUCUUGUUCCCUUCCUGCAUUGAACUAUCUGUUAUUAAUAUUUUACAGGGGAGGUAACCAUAGACAACUCGAUGAAUUAAUAUAAUUUGGCAACCGGCUUUUUAUAUACUUGAACAAUAUCAUCGAUAGUUGAUUAUGACCUUGCAAGUUCUCAUGCAUGAAAUUAAAUGUUUGGAAAUGAAAAUUUUAUUUUUGAAAAAAAAUUAAUGUAUAGUAAAAUUGUUGAGCUUAUUUGUGAAGUAUAAGUUGGAACUUCUGAAAGCAUGAAUACAAAUAAGAAGAAACCAUAUUAAGAAAGCAUAUUUUAUUGCAAAGGUUGAUGGAACUCAUUCAUGCAUGGAUUUUUCGAUCCACAUCAUCGCGUCCUGCAAAGGGUGGUCAGGCAAAGUUGUCACCAUUUUAAGUAUUUGCUGAUGGCCCCUCACAUGCUGGAAUCCAUAACCUGGGGCCUGGGCCCACCCUUAUCACUACAUGGGUGCUGUUUGUCAGAUUAGAUGCACAGUAAUAGGUCCACUCCUUCCUCAUACCCCCUUUAAUAUUUACUGCUAUAGUUUUUUUCACAAAGUUCCUAAUCAUAACAUGUCUGCUCAUCUUUUAGUUACAGCUCUUAACAGUUUCUUUAUUUAAGUCUUGUGUAUCAUUUGUUUGUACUAUGAAAAGACUAAUGUCUUCUAAUAUAAGUUAUACUUUCUUGCAGGAUCGUUCUCUUGACUUUCAUGCAUUAUGUGCUCUAUAUGCAGUUACCGGUGAUCUUUUUCCCCUUGAAAAUUGCUUCCACUUGAUCUUACAAUGCAAUUUUUCCCCCUUGUAGUGUAUGGAGGAUAAAAUAAUAAUCUUGAUGUAGAUAUAACUUGAUCAAGGUCAUGUUGAAACCAUUCAUAUCCUCCAAUUGGCAAAUUGUUGUUGUAUCUUGUGUAAGAUAUAAUAUAUUUAAUUAAAUUGAUUCCUUUUGGUUGAAUUAUACCUUUGACUUUAAAGUAUACAGAUAGUGUUUAUUCUUCCAUAAUUGCCUCAAAAUCUGUCUGAUAUCUUAUUUAUAUCUUCUUGCUUGCUGUAAUUGUCCUUCGCUAUGAAUGAUGUGACAUUUUGGUUAAAUUUCAUCUUAUGCUUUUUAUCUAUGGUCUUCGUUGAAGUUUAAUUGGCAUAGAAAACUCUAGCUGAUGCAUUUUGUUUUAUUUUUAUUAUUUAUUACUUUAGUACUUUAUUAACCUAACAUAUAUUGACUUUAAUUGUUUUCUAUGGAUUAUGCUUUUGAAGUGGCUUCUGUUCAUCAGUCAAUGUGAUUCAUGUUUCCUUUCUUCCAGAUGUGGCUUUAGUAACAUCAUUGAGAGAUGGGAUGAAUCUUGUAAGCUAUGAGUUUGUAGCAUGCCAGGGCUCAAAGAAAGGAGUUCUCAUUUUAAGUGAAGUAAUUUCAGAAUCUAAAGUUUUUCACAAUUUUCUAGCAUUUGUCAGUGUUAAUUUUCUCCUCUCACAUCCUAGUUGCAACUUUAUAUUACCUGUAUGAAUUGUUGCAAUGACAGGUUCCUUGUCUUUUGUUGCAUACUGCUGUGAAAAAGUUUCUCAUCUGAUAAUGGUAUUGACUGUUUGUGUUUGCCAUGGCAUCUUUUAUGGUGUUAUUAAGUCUUUUCUUUUUCAAAUAAUGUUUUAGAUGUUGCUUUACAGCAACAUCAGUUACAUCCAGGUUUUUUCUUAUGUAUCAUAUCUUAUUAGGACCAUGAAAUAUGAAACAUAGAUAGGAGGAGGUUUUUUUAAAAAAACUAAACAACCAUCCUAGAAGAUCUUUUGAGUGAAAUAUCCCAGGUGAUUUAUGCCUACCUAGUUAUUGUGAUUUUACAAUUGAUAUUGUUGCUUACUAUUGAUUGGUGUUUUGGGACAAUUUUGAAAAUUAGAAGUUCCUGUUUCAUCAGUUCCAUUGUCCCUUGCACACUGAAAACAGAAACUUCGCUUUACAGAACGAAUUGAUAUGCAAUAUUUCUCUGGAAAAAACAUUGAAGUACUUGACCAUAUUUCAUAAGUAUCAUUUUAUAAAUGGGUAAAAGUGAGAAAAGGAUGCCGAAUGGAUUCAGUAUGUCAAGUACUCUUAGAACCAACUUUCUUUACCUUCAGGUUUCCAAGUAUAGACAACAAAGAAUUUCCAACUUUGCUAAUUUAACUGUCUUACCCAUCAGUGGAUCUUGCUACUCUUAUUAUGUGUAAGCAAGCUUGUUCAGGUGCUUAUUAUUAGUUUCUUAGAUUCAAUGUGUACUGAUUUAUUAAUUCUUUCCAUCUGCUUUACUUAUCCUGCUUUGCUUCUCUAGUUUGCUGGAGCAGCACAAUCCCUGGGGGCUGGUGCACUUCUAGUAAAUCCAUGGAACAUCACAGAAGUUGCAGCAUCUAUAGGAUAUGCAUUGAACAUGUCUCCUGAUGAGAGAGAGAAGCGGCACAGGCAUAACUAUGCACAUGUGACCACACACACUGCCCAAGAUUGGGCAGAAACCUUUGUGAGGUGUGGAUUGGCUUAAAUUUUAAGGUUAUAAUUUGUGUUACUGUACAGGAUAAUAAUGGAGGACAAGCAUGUUAUCUUGUAGUUGAAGUUUAAACUAAGAGAUUUGCGUAUUUAUUUUGUAGUUGAAGUUCAAACUAUCCAGGAUAAGCUUACAAAACAUAAUAGUUCUUUUCUAGUCUACAGUUAACUACAUAAAAAAAAUUUAUUGGCUUACAACUUUUCGCAAUUAUGUUCUUCUUUGGCCUGAAUUUGCAUGCUUUAUUUAAUGACUUAUUUUAGCAGUUGUUAUUAGCAAAACAACUGUCAUUUAAUAUGUUAAUCUUUAUCCAGAAUGACUAUAUCUUCUCUCUUAGGGUGCUAAUUGAGGAACGUAUUAGAUUUCAUGGUUGAUUAAGUGAUCAUCAGUUUUUAUUUUAUCCCAUGUUUGCAUUUGGAUCUUCUUUAUAUCCUAUUAAAAGGCAUGCCUUUUUGUACUUAUUUCAGAUAGAUUGCACCAAGUAUACCUUAUAUCUUGUAUGCCUUUUAGAUUAUUUUGACUAUUUCUUUGUUUGCUAUAGCGAACUCAAUGAUACCGUUGUUGAAGCUCAGCUUAGAACGAGACAAGUUCCACCACUACUUCCUACCCAUGUUGCUGUUGAACGGUACUCGCAGUCCAAGAAUCGAUUGCUCAUUUUGGUAUUCUUCUCUUUGUGUUUGUAGUUUCUUUUUUUGAUAAAUGAUGAGAUCGUCAUUUUCUUUGUGUUUCUUUUUCUUGUGUUGCAUAGAUAUCAUAGUGCACCUGCUAGUUUCUGAAAUACUCUGCUUAUGUAGAUGCUACUGGUUAAAGUUCUUGUAAUAUGAACGUAUAUGUAAAAAUAAUUACUGCUUGCCAUGGAGUUGUAAUGCUGUAGCAGUUUCCCAUUGCUAGCUCCAGAAAGAACUAUUUUUUGAUAUACCUUUCAGUGUGUUCUGUUUUUAUACAUCACUGUCAGAUGUGGAACGAGAAGACUGAUAAGUUAUUCUAACAUGGCGAUUUGCGUUGCUCAUCCUGAAGUUUCAAGUGAUUUAUUUAUAAAAUAGUUCAAAGAUUGCUGCAUCAAUAUUGUUAUCAUCUCUUCUUGUAAUUUGUAAUAUAAAAGAACAUAAAUUGGUCUUCAUCUUUUUGCACAGUUUUUGUUGUUGGUCUUCAUCUUUUUGCACAGUUUUUGUUGUUGCCAUGCCAAUCUUUAUUCAUCUAGAGAACAUAUUGGUCUUCAUCUUUUUGCACAGUUUUUGUUGUUGCCAUGCCAUUACAUCGGAUUAUAUUCAUCUCUGUACCAAGUGAAAGUUAGUAUAUUAGAUUUUUUUUUUAGGUGCUUGUGACGCAAGAUAACGGUAACAUUUAAUAUUUUGAUCUUGAUUUAGCUUUUCUAUGUUUAAAAAUUCAUAAAAGCAAUUUUUUGUAGAAUAUAGAAUUUGGACAUUAAGCAGUAAGUGAACUAGCGAAGUGCCAAUAGCUAGCUAUUGCUCACUUUUAGUUCAAAGCAGCUUGGUAUCAUAAUUGUCAGUAGAAUUUUUUUUUUUCUGCUUUGGUAGAAACUUAAAUAUUUUGAUUUUUUGACAUAAAACUUCUUUAUAAUGAUCUCAGUUUCUUGUCCAUCUUUUGUUGCCUGAUCAUAGGGUUUUAAUGCAACUUUGACUGAAUCAAUUGAAUCUUCUGGAAGAAGAGGUGGUGAUCAAAUAAAAGAGAUGGAGCUUAAGUUGCAUCCGGAUUUGAAAGCGCCUCUGACAACUCUUUGCAAUGAUGUAUUGACAACAGUAGUUGUUCUCAGCGGAAGUGACAGAAGUGUCUUGGAUGAUGUAUAUUCUUACUAGGACUGUUUGAUAUUUUUCAUUAAUUUGUUUUACAAAUAACUUCAUUACUUUUCCACAGAACUUUGGAGAGUAUAAUAUGUGGCUUGCAGCAGAAAAUGGGAUGUUCUUGCGUCACACAGGUGGUGACUGGAUGACAACAAUGCCGGAGCAUUUAAAUAUGGACUGGGUUGACAGUGUGAAGGUAUUUCUAAUGUUCAUGUGUCUCUUUCUUUCCAAAUCUUUUGAUGAACUAGAAAUGGAUGCUGACUGAAACUUUGCAGCAUGUAUUUGAGUAUUUCACUGAGAGAACGCCCAGGUCUCAUUUUGAGCAUCGUGAGACAUCUCUUGUCUGGAAUUACAAGUAUGCAGGUAGUUUCUUAAUAUGUUGAACUGCUUGCUUGCCUAAAAAAUGUUAAACUGGUCAUGGUUUCAUUCCUGGUACCUCUCUUUCCUGACCUUGUUCUUUUUGGCAGAUGUGGAAUUUGGAAGGCUUCAAGCACGAGAUAUGUUGCAGCAUUUGUGGACAGGCCCAAUUUCAAAUGCAGCAGUUGAUGUUGUCCAAGGUAGCCGAGCAGUGGAGGUUCGAUCUGUUGGUGUUACAAAGGUGUGACAAUGUCAACAAUAUGCUUUCCUUCAUUAAUAACACUAUCAAAUUCUUUGUGAUGCAGUAAAUCUGUUCCUAUUGGUAUUUGGAUGAAUGAAUCUUUCUGAUUGAAUUCAUAAUAGGAUACAGUGUGCUGAAAUAAAAGUAGUAUUUUUUUUCUCUAAUCAGUUUGAAAUUUCUUUGAGCUAUUGUGGGCAUAAUGGGUCUUUUACCUGCUGUUAGUAUUGCAAUGCAAAGUUACACAUUGAUGUAAAGCUGAUCAUGUGUCAAACAGAUUACAAACUGCAACCAGUCAUACAUAACAAUAAAUUACAUGACAUAAUUUUCUAUUUUAUUAUGUGCUCUUUAGGACUUGUGUAAAAGUUACUGUUGCUUAUGCUUAUCAACCAGGCACAUGAGUGUGCUGAUGUAACAUCAUUUUGCAACUGUUUGUUAGAAUUUAAUGAUUUUUAUUGGUGCCUAUGUAUUCGGAAAUGCCAAUAUGUUCUUUUUUCUCUGUUUUCAUGUUAUUUCAAUACACAUCAUGCAUAGUUUUUCACUAAUCAAAAUAUGUAGACUUGUACAUUUUUGGUUUUGGUAAUCUUAGCAAGGCUCGAUGGGCUCAUCCAUUUAUUUGCUAAAAAAGGAUAGAAAAUAUGGAAUAUCAUGUAUAGCUUAGAUUUUGUCGACUGUCUCAGCAGCCAAAAUAAUAGAUGACGGUGUGAGAUCCAAAAUAUGCCUUAAGAAGCUCAUUAUUUGUUGUGUUGCUUCUUUUCUGUACUUGUGCAGGGUGCUGCAAUUGAUCGAAUACUGGGAGAAAUAGUUCACAGUAAAAGUAUGGUUACACCUAUCGAUUAUGUUUUAUGUGUUGGCCAUUUCCUUGGGAAGGUAACUUUUCUUAGACAUGUUGGGAUUGCACAAUGAUCUUCUAUGUGAUAGUUUUGCUUUCACCGUUAUUUCUCUGACAUUCCUUUUUUCGUUUAAUUGUUGGCUGAUGACAUUUAAAAUGGUAGAACAAGAUUUAGAUCUUUGUUAUUUAGAAUUGUGGAAAGACUAGUACCAAGUUGCCCUGGUGUAUAAUCAAAGAUUUUAGUCAGUCAGCACUACUCAAAGUGAUUUAUGAAGUCAAAUAUGGUUCAAAGGUGUCGAGAAAUAAUAACUAUGGCCCAUUAGUGCCUUUUAUAUUAAUUUCUUGUGUUAGUCAGCCUUUGCUACUUGUGAAAUUAAAUCAAACUUGUGCAAGGCCUGCAAUAUUUGCUUUUGUCUUUGUAGUAUCUGUUUUCCUGCUCUUCGAAUGACUGAAGAUAAUAAAAUAUUCAGAUUCUAACAAGGUAUUUCUUCUAUGUAUUUGCAGUUUCUAGAAGCUAGGUAGUUUCUAUUCAAGAUUGGUGGCAGGGUAUAUUGUAGUAUACAGUUAUUUGCUGUCUAACCACGGAUGUAGAUAUUAGGUGAUACGAUGGUUGUCCCAUCCAGUCAUUAGCUGAUAGUUAGAUUGGGUUGGUAACAUGUUAUGUUGUAGCAUACAGCUAUUCCUUGCCUAACCAUUCGGUGCAGGAAAGAACAUUACCAUGGGUUUCUAUGGCUGGGGCAGGAAAUGGAUUGGAUCCAAAUCAGAUUGGGUUUUGAUUUUUAUCCAAUCCAGUUCAAAUCAGAUAGGGGUUCUUUCUAUUGGAGUUUGGGUUUGAAAUUCAAUUUUGGAUGUGAUAUAGUUAUGGAUACAAACUCUAACAUCUAGGAAGCAUACACAUCAUCUAUGGUAUUUAAUAUUAGAUCUCAGCUUUGUAAGCAAAGAUUUCAUGAACUAUGCUUCAUUGUAAGCACCAAUGCAAGAACUUUGAAUCCCCUUGUCUUGAUAGAUACCUGUUAUUUUGUCUUUUCUGGCUGUUGAAGUCAAGUUGUUCGAACUUAUGCUUCACUUUGGUGUCGCACAUUAUUGUUUUUUCUCUCGCUUGAAGUUCCAGGUUAUUAUUAUUUUUAUUUUUUCCCUGCAUAUUUUUUAUGGAUGGUAGCCAUGCACAAAAGAAGGAAAAGAACACACAUACCUUUGAGACUAUUUACUUAUACUAAAGUACUCUGCUUGGCAUCCAAUACAAAUUUAUGAACAAGUUAGGGGCAGCCUUUACAAGAUAAUAAUCACAAAGUGUCAUGCUGUAGAUCAUGAUUUUCUAUUUCAUUCUGGUUCCUCAGGUAGCUUUAAGUGCCUCUGCAAUCCAUUUCAGUUGCUUAUGGAUGAUCUGUAGAACCAUCAUAAAUUUAUGGUGGUGCUUCUGAAACAUUAAGUUAUGAUGUUAUACCAGUGAUAAAUAAAUUGAUAAUAAACAGCUUACCGAUGUGAAAUUUGUGUUUUUGGCUGUUCUUUUAGUGGCUUUCCAUUUUGAACUUUUUUUAAAAUUUAAUCACCUACAUCAGCUAGAGAAUUCAGUUCUCAUUAUUAAACUUUGAAAUGAAGAACGUUAAAUCAUGAUUUUGAUGUAUAAAAUCUGGUUCGUGUUUGGCAGGAUUGUUGAAUAGCAUCUCUCUCAUAAUUGACAUGCCUAGCACAAUAUCUUAUCACUUAUAAAGAUUGUUUCUCUGCUGCAGGAUGAGGAUAUUUAUACUUUCUUUGAACCAGAGCUUCCAUCCGAACCAGUAAGUUCCUCGAGAACGAAAAGUGACACCGGUAAACCAUCAACUACUGACAAGAGGUCGACGGGAAGAUCAACCAUAAAGAACAACUCAAGGGGAUCACAUGUUAAGUCUCAAAGGGCUCCAGUCGGAUCUGAAAAGAGGAUGUCAACAAAUCACAACAUACCAGCUGGAUGGCGGUCUCCUCAAGAGACCAUGUCAUGGCGCGAGGGGUCAUCCGUGCUUGAUCUUAAGGGCGACAACUACUUCUCAUGUGCUGUUGGGCGGAAGCAUUCAAAUGCAAGGUAUCUGCUAAACUCAUCUGAUGAUGUCGUAUUCUUCCUCGGAGAGUUGGCUGAGGCGGCUCAUCCCGCUGCUUAUUUUUACCCCAGGAAUGGUGAUGUAACCAUGUAGGUAGAUAAUAGAUUUGUUUUAAUAUAUAUUUUUUUUCUCUUUCCAAAAGUAAAUCUGUAUUGAUUCAAAACUCUGGAAUAACCAAAGACUUUCUCUCAUCAGAGAAAAUAGAAAAUGGCUCGGGAGGCCAGAUAUCUCUCCAAAGCUGAUCAGUUUCUUAAGUUCUUUGCACGGACAGCAAGCUGGUGGUGCCCACACCUAUGUAUUAUGUAUUUUUCUAGGUGCAUGGAAAUUUUUUACAGACUGAAACCUGUCAAAAUAUCAGAAAAAGACAAUUCUGAUAUGAUUGGUAGGACAUUCUUUUCAAUCUCAAGCAACUGAAAUCAUUCACCUUCCUGUCAGCAUGUUUGAUUCCCUCUUGGGAUUGGCCUUCAAGCCACCAGCAUCACUAGUGCAAUCAAUAUUCAUGAAACGAAGGAUUAUAAUUUGGUACAUCUCGCUUCUUAUGCCUUCGUAGACCUUCAUGUUGUUCUCACAGAAAAGAUAUAUAUUCUUGAUCUUCGAGAUUAUCCCUGCAGAAAUAGCCAACUCAGUUGGCUGGCCUCCUCAGAGUGUACAUCUUUAUCAUAUCCAUGCCGGGUUUCGUCCAUCAUGCAUGGUCGGUGCUUCAGUAGAGUCGGGAUAUGUAAUCGCUACAAGAUAAGUUUAUUUAUACUAAGAUGAUCCCCCCAAGUUUGUUUAGUUCGUUGACCGACACUGAAACUCCAUGUUGCUUUGGCACAUUCGUUCGAUUUGGGAAUGAUUGCAGUCUGAGCGAGCGUGCCAUUUUGAUGGAGUUUGUAAGGAGGGGCUUAUCCACAUGAGAUCAGGUUAUCGACGAUGACCGGGUGACGUCCCACUUUUGUCAACGACUUAGGCCUAACAUCAUGCCCCCCCCCCCAACUCGUCAACGUGGCAGACGUUCAUUUGCCGUUUCAUCGGACCCGACGAUGGACCCCGGCAUCGGACUCGGACUCGGGGCAUAUGCUUAUCCAUUAGCACGAAGGCGACGGGCGGUGGCGUCCCAUCUUUUUCUGUCGUUGCCUGGUUCGAGUGGAAUACGGUGCCGGCAGACGGAGGCACGCACACGCCACGUCGCACUAGGAAGCAUGAUGAAACCCCACGCCUCCUUCCUCCGACUUCCUGGACCAACCCGGUUCCCCCAAGUUACCCCCAACCUCGGAAUGCGCAGGAAUCCACCCACGCACACCGCCACAUCUGUUGCUUUAAUCCUUAUCAUAAGUUAUGUAUCCGAGUUAUAAUCCUUAUCACAUUAGAUGCCCGUAUUAUACUUAGUAUCGAAACCAUAACACCAUCAUCCCAUUUGCCUCUCCCUCCUCAUCCCUUUGAUCACAAAUGGACUGAAGAGAAAGCGACGCACAUGUUCCGGAUAUAUACAUCUAAGAAAAGACACCACUGACUCAUGCAAAUCGAGCCAAACCCAUUGAUCGAUUGGAAGCACUGCACUGUGUUGGCACUUUGUGAUGAUUGGAAGGCCAGCGGAAUGCCGCUAUAAACCCCUCGACACCUUCCUUUUCCCAUGACCAGCACGCGGCAAGUGUGACUCGAUCGCACAUCAGGAAUUCCAAGAAGUAUCUCGUGGUGGUAUUAGAGGCAGAUGGAGGAGUUGUACGAGUGGGAGGUGAUGUGGCCGGAGGACAACAACGACGGGCCCAUCGGCUCCGCCAACAGUCACGGCUCGACCCGGAAGACGGCGCCGGGCGCUCGGAGUCCGCCUUCCUCGUGCGCGGCGCCGCUGGACAUCCCGAGCGCCCGACCAAGUCCCGGGCGUGCAUGCGGCAGCGGCGACGGGGAGGAGGAGAUCGAGUGGGCGCCGCCGCAUGUUGUGGCGUCGCGACGCAGCGCGGAGGGGAAGGUGGCAUUCUCGCUGUGCUCCGGCCUCGGGAGGACGCUCAAAGGCCGGGAUCUCCUCCACGUCCGUAACUCCGUGCUCCGCAUGACCGGCUUCCUCGAAGGAUGACCUACUCCCGCCUCAGAUCCAAUGCAUGAAGAAGAGAGUACGGUGUCGACGAUACAUCUACACCUGCAAACAGUCCCUCGGUGCUCAUCAGUUGCGAGUCUUGUGAUCUUGAUCCUUAAAUUGUGUGCAUACAAAUCUCUAUCAUUCUUCGGCCUCCCCUACCUACAUCAUAAAACAUAUUAACUAAUGCAUAAGCAUCAGUUUCGGUACCUAAGAGAUCAAAAUUCCAAGUCAUGAAAAUAGCCUCUUUAACGAUUGACAAUAGAACAAUCUGCUGACGAGUAGCGUCGUCUGCAUGAAACCCCAGAUUUGGCGUCUAUGGUUGCACGUUGAGUUUGCAGCUGGAUUUAGAAUACAAUACAAUCCGCUAAUUAAUCAUAUCGAUGAUGAUUAACAUUCAUGAGACGUGAUAGCAAUCAUUAAGCACCAAAUUACUUGAACCGGUGCUUUUGGAAGUUUCUUGAGGAUAUAUAGCAGACCACCAAACGAUAGUUGCAGGAAGAGUCGAGCUACCUAUCUGAUGAUUCAUUGCGUUUUGGCCUUAUCCGAAUGUGCCUUUUUCUCCGAGAAGUAAUUUAUCGAGAAAUAUAUGGAACAUACACAAUGGUCGAAGUCGAACAAACUCUUCAAGUAACUUGUCCGAGGAGAUGACUGAAUCGAUCGACACUGACAGACAGAUUUGUCGCGGGGUUAAACUUGCUUAGAACGGGUUGAUCUGUAAAUGAAGCUGAGAUUUCUGAUAAGGAGGAGAAGGAAGUCAAAAGAUUCACCAUCCAGAAUGAGAAUAAUGCGUGCACAAAACAAGGUCUCUGUCCUCGCUCGGUUCGGUUGCUGGGGCAUGGCGUCUUGGUGCAGGAAAACCAAGUGCAUCCAAUGUCGCCAUUCGUCCCUUUCCCGGCGCCUCAGUCGCCCCGACUUGCCUGCGGGAGAAACACAGAGUUGGGCGGUAUCCUACGCCUUCGAAAUGACUGUGGUGAAUUAAGCUUUUGGGCGACUCACAGGGCGCCAAGUGUUCGACGAAUUAGCAGUUGUCGUCGGCGUUUCGAGCAAAGCUCUUAUUUAUAUGUGCAUGAGAAGAUUCAUUCGGAGCUCAACAUUGUUAAUGAGGUGGGGCGGGUCCGAAUGGAAUAGCUGCGGCCACGCGGCGACGCAACAGUUGCCGAUCCCGCACUCUAAAUCCAUCCCCUCCCACCGCAUGUCGCCCACGCAAGUUUGCUCACCUUCCCCCUCCUUUUCUCCGAUAGAUCCCCCCACCGCAUGCGUCUUCUCGGAGAACUACUUGGUGAGGAAGAAGCUGAUGGAAGAAUUCGAGGAAGCCGAUAUCCUGUGGCCCGACUACGAUCGCGACGAGGACGAGCUCACCGAGGAGUGGCACGCCGGACUCGGAACUCGGCGGAGGACAUCCAGCCCCGUCGAGAUCCCCUCGAGACCUCAACCGGUUCGUUCUUGGACGCUGGGCUUCGCCAGUUCCGACCGCGUUCAAGGUGACGAUGAUGAUAAAGACGACGGAGGCCAAACCCACAACGUCCCGCCGCACGUCAUGGUGACCCGCAGGAUCGCCGACAAGACGUCCUUCUCGGUGUGUGUCGGCAACGGCAGGACGCUCAAGGGACGGGAUCUGAGGCAGGUCAGGAACUCCAUCCUGCGGAUGACCGGAUUCCUGGAGAGAUGAUGGUUCAUCCAUCCCGGGAAAGAAGAAGAAAGAUGGAGCUAAGCCUCUUUGCGUUCGGGAGUCCCACAAACAGUGCAGGAUGUACCACUCAACAUAAGUUCAUGAAAUAGAGCUGUGCAGACUUGACUGCUGGUAGGCAAUGCUUGUUAUGUAUGUGCCCAGUAAUGCUUGUUAUGAUAACGUAUAUAACCACAAUUUUUGAAUGGUUAUUAAUCGAAUUGAUACAUGUUAUAAUACUAAUGCUUGCUAUGGGAACAUUUAUAACCCUAAUAAUAAUAAUAAUUAUUAUUAUUAUUCAGCAAGGGAAAGGGAAAGAAGGAUAGACUGUGAAUGAGUAAAACUGUAAAUAUUAAUUAUUAUUUUCAUAUUCCAAAUUCGUUAUUAUAUAUAUAUAUAUAUAUUAAUGGUUGUUAUUGUGGCAUAUAAUUAUUGUCCACCAAUCAAUUGUUGGCAUUGAAUAUAAUUCUUUACUUCAUUUGGCUCGUCUGGAUCGAGUAACCUUCCACCGAAAGCACGCUUGCCAUUUUUAUAGGCACUAAUAAAAAUAAAACAAAACACAUAAAUAAGUGUCGGAAAGACGAGCAUUACUUCCGUGAAGGGAAACGCAAAGCGUGAGCUUUUGGGAGAAGGAAACGGACUCGAGUCAGGCUCGAUCCCAAGCCAAGUAGAGCCCAAAGCCUUUCCAUCGCAUGCAACGAAAGCGGUGCUGUGGGUUGCCGUUGGGUCUCCCUCCGCCCUCCACGCGUCCGCAACCGCCCGCUUGCGACACGCAUCACGGAACCUUUUACGUUACGAACCGGGCAUGGAGGAGCACCGCCUGCUCGGGCUCACCGCCCCGCAACGGUAACCCUGCGCCCUGCUCCUAUUUAUGUCGUACGCCAUGAGUGGUCUCUGCCACUGCCUCUCUCUCUCUCUCUCUCUCNNNNNNNNNNNNNNNNNNNNCUCUCUCUCUCUCUCUCUCUCGCCUUCGGAUUCCACCGACGCGACGAGCGCUCUCCUCCAUCUUCUUCUUCUGGUCUUAGGGUUGAAGCGAGGAGGUGGAGCGAUGGAGGCUUCGAAAGGCUUGGCUGCUCUGCUCCUUGUUGCUGGGGUUACCAUGGCGUUGAUGGACUCAGCUGGGGCUUACGUCUUCUACGCUGGAGGGAGGGAUGGCUGGGUGCUGCAUCCCUCCGAGAGUUAUGGUGAUUGGGCAGAGAGGAAUAGGUUUCAGGUUGCUGACACCAUUGGUAUGUGCCGGACGAUCAUCUAUAGUCGUUGAUAUGUAGUGCAUUGAGCUUUGCAUGGUGUUGUGCAGUGUUCAAGUACAAGAAGGGGGAGGACUCUGUUCUGGUGGUGAGCAAGCAGGAUUACGAUGCAUGCGACGUGAGCAAACCGAUCCGGAAGCUCGAUGGAGGCGAUUCCGUGUUCAAGUUCGAUCGGUCGGGGCCGGUCUACUUCAUCAGCGGCGCGCCGGGGAACUGCCAACAGGGGCAGAAGCUGGUGGUGGUGGUCAUGGCCGUGAGGAACUGUCCGCCCAUCUCUUCUCCUCCGUCGCCACCUCCUACUUCCAACACGCCCCCUGCUUCAUCUCCUUCACCUGCACCAGUAUCCCAUGGUCCUGCGCCACGCCCAUUUCCGAAACCCCAUCCUCCAACCCCAGCACCAUCCGCAGCUCCCGUGCCCGGGUCUCCUCCUCCUAAAUCCUCGGUUGGCGCCGUGUCUGGUCCUGGGAUAUCGCCGGCACCAGCUCCCGUCGAACCGGCCUCCUCUUCGUCAUCCUCCUCGUACGCAUCGAACUGGUCCCUGGUGACGGUGCUGCUGCUCAUGGUUCUCGGUGCUUCCUCCUUCGCCUAAUGCUGUGUGUUGGUGUCCGUCGUUUAUACCUAUUACCGCUGUCUGUGUCGAGCGCGAUAUAUAUGCGUCUGCAUCUUGUUUCCUUCGUUCCCGUAUUUGUAUCUUAAUUCUAUGGAAAUGGAAGAAGAAAAUUACAGUUCGCCUACGUGGUCGUGAUGGCAGCUCACUGCGCUUCCACACCUUGUGCAUUGAUGCUCUUCUUUCAUGUUGUUUAAUCGAGCGGUGCAACCGUGAAGGCUUCUUGCCAUUUUGUUUCUGCAUGGCAUUUCUUCUGCAGUUCAUUGUGAUCUUCCAUUAGAAGACGACAGAAACCUCUCACGAGUGGAACACCGAAGGGAACAUUAAUUGUAGAGCUGGGUAAGUCGAUACGACAGCCGUGGCUUCAACAUGGCGGAUACAGAUGUGCACUGUAGUAGUUGAGGCUCCACCAGAGGAAUGCUCGUCGUCGUAUAUGAGAAGAGAGCUCAGAGUGUCUUUCCCAUUUGGUCAGCACAAUGCACAUGCCAAGUAGCCCAGAGAGGGUGCGUGGGGCUGUCAGGCGGAGAAGAAAGGCUGUGAAUAUACAGCAGCCAUUCCAAAUUUCGUGCCACCGACAUCGUAGGCCACUUUGCAACCUAUCUUUUCCGGAGAGCAUCUGAAUGAAUGAAUAUAUAUAUAUAUAUUUUAAUGAUACUUCUGUUUUGUUGAAAAUAUCUUUCACCAGCCAUAGUGAUAUUUUUCAUAUCAGUCUCGGAGAUGUCCUCCUAUAAAUUGAUCCAUUGGGUGUACCUGUUCAAGUGGAUGGAAGCAACCUGGUCUGAUCUAUUGGGUAUGUAUAGUAGUUUAGUCACUCAUAUUUGAUAUAGAUAGGGACAUAAACAAUGUAAUGCUAUUGAAAAUGAGAUCAAAACUCACCAGAAAUAUGUAUUUAUAAUAGUUUAUAAACAACAUCACCCAAAUAAGGAUUAAAAAGUAAUAUGUUACAGUGUUUUAACUAUCACAAUAAAAAUAUUGUAAAGUCUAUCUUAAAAAAAUAUAAACAAUCUAAAUGGACUCCUAACCUCAAUCAAACCAACUAUAAGUCUAAAAACGAUAAUCAAAUGAGCACAAUAUGAUAAUCAAUAGCUUUAUAAUGUUUUCAGCACCUCAAUAAGAACAAUGCAAUGCUAUUUGGAAAACAUCAUGAAUAAGUCAAAUAGAAUUAAAAUACACUAGAAAUAAUUUUAUUUACCAUACUAUGAUUCAAAUAAGUAUUUAUAGUUAUUUUAAAACUAAUAUCACUCAAACGGGAUAAAAAAUGAUAUUUUAUAAUGUUUUAACUAUAAUAAAAAUAUUGUAAAGUCUACUUGAAAACAUUGGAAUGAGUUUACUCGCCUUAUGGGUUGGACCAUAUUAUUGUGCCGAUCGAUCCAGCCACUUGGAUUAAUGUAUCAUAUGUCAUCGACUUAGUUAGUUUUAUCUAAGCCAUAUGGUAUCAUUACAUAUUCAUCCAUAAAAGAUCAACCUUUUCGAAAUAUCUUAUAGUCCCAUAAAAAUACUUAAAAAAGAAGAUAAGUUAGAAAAAACAUUUAUCUCAUAAUCUCACAGACAAAUAUUUUGAUAAAUACCUAAUAAGUAAUAUAAAUUAUAAAUAUAAACUUUGUAAGUCAUGAAUAAUCAUACGACAAAGGAUCUAUGAUAUUUUAUUAUAAUUAAAAGUCCUCUUAAGUGUCCACAUGAUACUACUACUGAAUAACAACAAACCAGCCUUAUUAUUAUUAUUUUGAUAAAAAGUAAGAAAAGAAAAUAUAUUCAUCAUCCCAUUACAAUAUGAUUAAGAAUGAGAGAAAGAAAUAAUAUUCUUGCUUGUUUUGAUGAUCAAGUAAUUUAGGAAUUACUAAAACUGUAGAGGUCAAUUCAAUCAUAAAAAAAAAGAAUUUGAUUAAGUAGCGAAAAGAAUUUAGUUUGAAAUAUCAAAAUAGAUCAAUAUUUUUUUUUCAUUUUUCGAAGAAGUGCAUAUCUUACACACGGAUUUUAAUUGAUAAUAGUCCGAAACAAUAGGACCAUUGGAGUACAUACACAAAUUUACUUUAAAUAUAAGAAGUCGAGUAAGCGGAUUACUCCAAGUCGAGAGGAAAAUAAAAAUUAAACUAAAAAUAUUUUUCAUAUGGAUCGGUUCAUAUGAUGUUUUUGAUCUUAGUCAAAUAAUACCAUUUAGAUUGACGAGAGAUAUUUUUAAUAUUAUCCAAAAUAAGGAUACCAUUUGAGAAAAAUAGAAACAGUGGUAUAUUUAAAAAAAAGAUUUUUUAGGAAAUCGUUGAAUGCUUUUUGACUUCUAGUAGUCAAAAUGAGCCCACGUCGACAUGCUACGGUUGUCGAAGGGUGAAGCUUAUGGAUAGGGCUAACGAUGACCCUUCAUUGUUAACAGGCCCGGCACGUUGGGUUGCAUCUGCUAUCACAAGGCACAGAUCAUACAAGCUUCAGCUUCCCGUCCCGGAAUGGGAAAUCAUGGCCAACCAACAGUGUAGUUGGCGGCACCUGAGGCCACCAAUCCCAUUCUUUUUCUUCUCCUCGGAAAUGAGAUGAGACGUCGUAUCACCUCGAUCCGUCUGCAUCACAUGAGCUCGCUCAUGGGCCUUGUCCGAAUCCAAAGCAGCGUACGUCGUGGAUCUUUUGUCUGUCCAUUUCCUUCCCAAAAUGGAAAUGCUUCCAAACCUCGCCACCCUCGCUGGUGGCAGCAGCGACACAGACCACCAAGAGACGUACUUCAUCUUUUCUGGACUAUGAUCCAAGCUUAAGAGACCGGUAAGCAACGGAGAAGAUGGCAUUAGGAGAGUGACCUCUACAGCGGAAAUCAUGUGUUAGAACCGUUCGUUUUGUUUGUGUUCCCGUUGUCCGUUCGUCGCUUCUGCAUCUUUCAUGCUCUCUUUUCCUCGCGAGACGUAUCAGGAACCUCUCUCUCUCUCGUGAUAUCAAUCCUUCAAUUGCCUUGCAGUUUGUGCCGGAAAUGUCUUCGGACCGAUGGUUCACGACAUGUCCUCGACGCCUCCGAGGACCGAACUCUGCAUUCCGGACAAACCUGGAAACUUUUACUUUAUGAGCUGAGGAACUCUCACAUCGGACAUCACGAGUUCGUCCUCCUUUUGCUUAAAACCUCUCGGAAAUGAUUCCGCUACGAUUAGACCACACCUCUGAUAAUUGGCUUGCUUGCAGAGAUUAGGAUGGCCCUUGGAUUCAAGGCCGCGGCUGACAGGCACGCACUCCUUGAGGAGGAGGAGGAGGAGGAGGAGGAGGAGGAAUAGAUAGUGCUGCAACAUUUAUUACCAAGCCUUUUGUCAUCGCUUUCCCAUUUCAAUCCUCACCAUUGCCAUAUUGAUGUAAGUUUCUUCGGGUCGCUUCUACAAGCCCAGGGGCGGGGAGGCCUUGUUUGGAGGGGAGGAGAGCGGCAGCGCAAAGCUCUAACGCGUGUCUUGCCGCCACUGCCGCGGGCGACAUGGGGAGAGGGAGAACGGAGAUAAAGAGGAUAGAGAACCCGAUCCAGAGGCAGUCCACUUUCUAUAAAAGAAGGGACGGUCUGUUUAAGAAAGCCAGGGAGCUCUCUGUUCUCUGCGACGCCGACCUCCUCCUCCUCCUCUUUUCCUCUUCCGGCAAGCUGUAUCAGUAUCACUCCCCUUCGGUCGCCAGGUGAAUGCAUGCCUUCUUCCUAUACCUAUAGCACAUACACGCACACACACACAAACAGCAUUAAGCUUACCUGCAGCUUUUGCUCGACCGCAGUGCCAAGGAGCUCAUAGAACGGUAUGAGGUGGCCGCCCAAACACAGAUUCGGGGAGACCGUCGCUUGGUAUGCUCUCUCCGUUUAACUCUCGCCCUCGUGCUCGGCUUAAGUUCACCAACUUGUACGUAGGAACGGAACGCAGAGAUGGAGAUGGUGGAGAAACUGUGCGACACUUUAGAGAGAGAGCUCAGGUGACUUGAAAUGUCUACCUCGGGAGAUCAACGGCUGGUGCCGCAGCUCGCUUACGGUUCCCUUGUUUCCUUUCUUGCAUUAGAUUCAUGAAGGUUGACGAGGGACAGCAGUACUCGCUGCCGGAUCUGGGCCUUCUGGAGCACAACUUGGAGACGGCCAUCGGCAAGGUCCGAGUGGAGAUGGACCGGAAGAUAGGGGCACAGAUCCACAAACUCGAAACCAUGGUUUGAUUCGUCUUCCAAAGCCCUUCUCUUUUGGGGGUGUCUCUUUUGCAUCUUGCAAUGAUUUCGUUCUUCCAUUUCAAGGUAAGAGAUCGCCAACAAGAAAGAUAUGGUCUGUGCGACAAGGUAUGCGUUCUCUCGCAAUAGUGCAGCUGCCGCUUGAGUACAUAUAGACAGUCGUUCCCCUGUUAGCAACCCUCAUAUCAUGUAGGCCAAAAUGCAUAGCUUGCAGAGGUAAAGUUGCGUCCUCCAUGCUUGCAGAUUGCACGAGUGCAGACGCUUAGAGGCAUGGAAGCAGAUGGAUCUGCCUCUUCAACUCCAGGACUGGACCUGAGACUGGGUACUUACUCAUCUGUCGAUACUUGGCUUGGCAGCUCCCCGUGGUUCUCAGCUCAUUUCUGACUAGAUCUGCCAUUUACUCUCGCACACAGGUCUAAAUUAACCAGGGUCGAUGAAGCCAACUGAUGAGCUGAAAAGUUGGAACUCAGGAUGAUCUGAUGAUGUUGCAGCUUUCUGGCUGCAAUCGAGGGCAACAAGGAGAGCUUGUAAAAAUAUCUCAAAUUCAACGAAAUUGGAGAACUUGAUUUCAGUUCCCGUGUUUAUUUCCAAGCAUCACUCUGCUAUUUCCUAGAAUUAUGGUGCUAAUGCUUGCUUGCUUGCAUCUUUCUCUAUCAACCUGCAUCACUGGUGUUUUGGUGCUCAUAGAGUAAAAGAGGCUUCGAGGCCUACUCUGAACUCGAAUGGCUGGGCAUGGCAAAGCUUCGAUUUCAUCAGAGAAGCUAAUGCCCAAUCUGAAACAUGCUUGCUUGCACGACCAAAGUUGGACUAAUCCUUCCCAUCCCGUCAAUGCCAAGCAAGCGAUCGAACUAAGAUUAAUGACUUCAACAAGAACAAACAACAACCAAGGAUGAUGCAAAAAGAUGGUCAAAUGAUUACCAAUUUAAUUCAACCAUAAUGCAAACACUAUAAGAUUUGGAUGCUAAGCUUUGACAGAGUGGUUUGACCAAUGUCUUUUCUAUUUCGACUUACCUGUUCAGUUUCCUUUUUAGCAUUCUCUUACUGGAUUAUAUGUUUACUGUGCGUGUUUGGAGGCUUAUGGCUGGCAAGAACUGUCUGAGAAUGACAACCGCUUGUUUUCCUUAAUGAUCGAUGAACAACAUGUCAUUAUCAGCAUCGACUUUCAAUAUGGGGGACCUCAUUCUCCACUUCUUGGAAUGUUCAUGGCCUGCACGGUUGGUUCCAUCAGUGAGGAAACCAUUGGAAGAGAUGCAGAAAAGGAAGAACAAGAAAGGGGGCUUCCUCCACGGAACGUGGCUUCUGGGUUAAUCGAGAAUGGAAUUCGACAUGGUGGUGAUGGGAGAUGCUGCUGCAUCGACAGACUCUGUUACUGACCUUAAAGAUCAUGGAAUAAAAGAACCUGAUUCAUCCAUGCCGAGCGAGUUCUCAACUGUGAUUCCCGAUUCCAGAACUCAUCAUCCGUGUCAAAACCAAAGCAAGAUCCACUAUUGUUACUUUAUUUCUUGGCAACUAAACCAAUCCAAAUGGUUCCAAAACAUGCACAGAAUCGUACUUCAUCCUGCUAUCGAUCAUCUUCCACCAAGCUGCUCCAUUAUUAACCUUGCUUUCCUCUAUCAGCUGUCUGUUUUAUAGGCGUGCGCACAGAUUGCCAUCACCCAGGUUGACUUUGUCUCCGAGGACUCCAUUACACGGAACGAGGAAAAAGAAACUCCGAUCGAAAUGGGGGAUUUCCGGAUUGAUAGAGAAAAAUUAGGGAGGAGGAGUAAACGAUGGAGAGAGAAGGAAACGGCGUUGGGUCAAAAGGUCGCCGAAAAAUGCGAAGUCACGGGGCAACCCGACACCGGUGGGUGGGCUGUGGUUUGACCCACGGCAUCGUGUCCCCUUCCGUUGACUACGUGACCUAACAUCGUCGAACGACGAUCGUGCACCGAGAAGAGAGCCACCACCUAAUCCACGCACGCUUGUCCAUAAAUAUAUAUCGAUGCCAAUUGAUGUGGGGCCCAGCUUAAAUGCAAGAUAAUUAUUUUUUUCCCUUUUUCUUUCAGACCAAAUUAAUAAUUAAUUUUAUUAAAAUAAAUUUUGUGAAUGCAAGAUAAUUAAUAAUUAAUUUUGUUUCUUAAUCGUGAUUUUUUUUCCCCCAAAAUUAUCACUGACAAAAUUGGGUAAAGCAUCACUAAAUAUUGAGUUUUUAGAAUAACUAAUUUAGAUUAGAGAUAAGAGAUAAUUUGAAGUGAUACGAAAUAAUAAGUAGUGUCAUCUACUCGACAGCGACGUACGUGAUCUACGGUUCUUCUUCUCGUUGUAAGUGACAGAUGUGCUGAAUCCGUGAAUUACUGAUCAAUCUUGGAUUCCGCUCGUUGGGGUCGACAUCAUCUAUCCCUCGAGAGUCAAACAUUAUUGAGUUGACGUUGCUGUCGACAACCCACCAAAUCGCAAUAUGUCCAUAUCGAAAUUAAACUAUAUUAUAAUUAUAUGUUGACUAAGUAGCGAGUGGUUUCCACCGGUGACGGGGGAAGGAACGUAUGGUACCGAGGACGUAAGGAGAAGGACGCCUGCACAAGACUCGUCCACGUCUCGGAAGUGAAGUGUGCGUACUAUUCGACGAACCAUUCUUUUGGUAGGCAUAGGAAUAAUGCAAACGAAACGCAUAUAUAAUCUAUUAUUACGCUCGGAAUGAGAAAAGAGAAUGACUAAACGCACGAGUAGUAGUCAAAAGAGUGGUCCUCAUCGAUGACUGACUUAUCAAGUCGAUGCUAUCAACCAUCAACUCUCAUUUGGUUCAUCCAGUGCAUGCUAAGUUCUUUUGUCUAUUUCUCUGCAACUAUGAUCAUUUUUUUUUCUUCCGAAUAUAAAUCGAUUAAGACCUCAAAAUUAUAGUCGUUUUAGAGAAUUACAAAUAAAUCUAAUACGUAAAAUAUGAUUAAUUUUUAUGGAUAAAAUUGGUUGAAGAUAUAUUAUAUUUGGAGGGGAAAGUUGAGUCUUCAAAGUCAGCCAAGAAAAUUGAUGUGGCUACAUCAACCAUCUCAUGGUCAUGGUCAACAUCGAUUUAAUUUGUGAGCUAAAACAAGUGAUUAAGAUGACUUGUGGUAAAGGAGAUCCACUAGUUCAAGUGCCACUAAAUUAAGACUCAAAUGGAAAGUGUUUAUGUUGGCUAAUGUAAGACUUAAUACCAUAUUUUAUAACACAAGCUGACUGUGAGUUGAGCAUGUAGAUUGUCAUACUUGCUCAUCCCUCUGAAAGCCCUCACUUCUCUCUCUCUGUGUUGUGAGUAGUAAUUCUAGGAUGACUUCCCAGGAAGAGUGCUGCAGAUACUGUGCAACUGGUCGGCUAAUCUUUCGCCCCUGACAGUUCAACACCAACAUGAUCAUUCUUCGGAAUGAGUAACUACAGUGGAAAGCAGAAGAAGACACUGUGGAUCCUCCAAAGCUGGUGUAGUCGAUGGCUCUGAAGUCAAUGUGGAUCAAGAAUUUUCCUGGAUGUGUCAUCAUGGAAGAUGGCACCAAACCUCUGUGCCAUGGCAAUACAAGUCUUUUCCUCAAGAAGAGAGAAUUCCAUUAAACACGGGCUACUCAUCUCCAAGUCAAUCUCUCUUUCUCCUCCACCCUUUCCUUUUCCCACCCAACUCCCGACUCCCAACUCCAAACCAACAUCCUUUUAAUUCCUCCUCUGCUCAGUCCCACCCAUAUGCUUACCCCUCUGCAUCAGUCCCCGAGAGAAUAGCCUUCUCUUUUUGUUCUCUGAACUCGUCCAUCCAAUGGAAAACCUUCACCAUGGAUUCCAUGAGAACGAGCAGCAAUCUUCCCAUCCCACCUCCCCUUACUCCAACUCCAGCAGUAACAACGGCAGCAGCAGCAGCAGCAAUGGUGUGACAGCAGCUGCAGCAGCGGCCGCUUGUUCGCCCACACCUCUCACUCCCCAGUCCUUACCGAAAUCCGUCGACACCAAUUCUUUCCCCACCACCUUCAUCCAGGCUGACGCCUCUUCCUUCAAGCAAGUAGUCCAGAUGCUCACAGGCUCCGUGGCGAGGGCCGCCAAGCACGCCGGCGCCACCGCAGCGCCGCCAACCAAGAACUUGGUUUCGCCCGCCGCGAAGGCCACCGGCCCCAAGAAGCCAACUUUUAAGCUCCAUGAGCGCCGGGGCAGCCUCAAGAACCUGAAGAUGAUAAGCCCAAUGAUCCCAGGUUUCGUCAAGUCCGACCCGAGUUCUCCCAUGGGCGUGGCCUUCUUCUCCCGGAGGCAGCCGGAGAUCCUCUCGCCGAGCAUGCUGGACCUGCCGUCGUUGAACCUCAGCCCCGUCACGCCUUUGAUCCCCGAUCCGUUCAACCGGACGCCGCAACCCAGUCCGGCCGCCGCCACCGGAGCAACGAUGUCGGCCGAGGACCGGGCGAUUGCCGAGAGGGGGUUCUACUUCCACCCUUCGCCAAAGACCACGCCGAGGGGCUCGGAGCCGCCGAGGCUGCUGCCACUGUUCCCGGUCACGUCCCCGAGACCGUCAUCUGCUUCGGCUGCCGGCACUUCCAUUUAGAUUGGUGGUAUGAGAAGAACGGUUCAAACGUACAAUUUGAGCUUCUCACUCGAGAGCUUUUGAUUUCUAAUUCUCUCUGUCAUGCAAACCAAUUAAUCCAACAUGAGAUGAAUGAUCUCUGCAUGGUGCCUCUCUUUCUUCUCUAUGUAUCGUCUUCCUUAUCAAGAGCUUUCUCUUCCACCUUCUUGGACAUAUGAUAAUGUCUAGUCGUGGACUAGGAAAAAAAUUGAUCUCUUCAUGCGGUCAGUUCAUUGUUCGUUUUCUUGAGAAAGCUCUUUUACCAAAUUUUUUGAUAUAUGAUCAAAGAUGAUUUGCUUAAAGGAUACCUCUCAGCCGAACUAUCCCCAGAUAGUUCUAAUUCCCCGAAAGUCUGGAAUUUGAAGGAUUCAGGAGUACAAAACAGUGAUUGGGAAGUUGCUGCGACAUGUGUUCAUGAAGCCAUUCACCGAUGCAAGAUGAGGCUUCUGUGUUUGGCUUGGCCGAGAAGGAAGAAUUUUGUGUCUUGAAUUAGGUCCUGUACUACUUAGGAAGCUUGUUCUGUCUUUGAUAUUGACUUCCGCAAGUGCUGUGGCAUUUUCCUUUUGUUAGAAUAACUUGAGGGCUGCUGAGUUUGAUGGAAAAGGAGAAGCUUCCCAUGGAGUGUUUGGGACUGCCACUUCAAAAAGGAGUGGUUGGUUUGCUUAUGCUGUAAUAACUGGAAAAGAGAUUAGAUAGCUGGAAAGCACAACUCUUUUUCACUGAAGAGAGAUGAAGCUUAAUUACAUGGAAGCAGAUUUGAAAAGAAGAAAGAGUUUGGCAGGCUUGGAAUCAUUAAUUCACCAGAUUUUAAUCAUGGCUGAACACUAUCAGAUUCUCAUUCUUCUCUGCUCCUCUCAUCUCCUUUUGUUUCGAGAGAGAUAAGAAGAUAAGUGUCACAGAAUUGGUGGUCUGCUCUAGACUUCCACUUUGCUUGUCAUUUAAAAUGUGAUGUGCAUUCUGCUGCUUUUUCUUUGCUUGACAACCAAUGAACCGACUCCCUUUGUCAUGAUGCACCUGCCUAACCUCAGUCCAAACUCUAAUAUUAAGUGAACAUGGAGUAAAGAACCGUGACAAAGGAGGGCAGAAACUGUGCCUUCACAGACACAGCAAGGCUUGUUAUCAUAUCUCAAGUUUCAUGUCCACUAGACCUAUCACAAUAGUCUUUGUUACAAGUGAGUUUGGAAAAGGUCUUGCUCUUGGAGCAAAGUGUCAACAGAGAACCUGUCUAGUGUGAUUCCUGCUAUGCCAAGGUGUAGCGUUUUGACUGAAGCCACAAGAUGCAAGGAGCUGCUGAAAGAGUGUUCAGGUCAUGUCAAUAGCUUUCUGCUACAUAUUUGGUUUCAUCCUUCUUUUUCUUUUGGUUGAAUCUGAUACCAUCUGUAGCCACUUAAAAUUGACUUGUGUUGCAGUAGUACAUGGAGAAACUGCAACAGAGAGUCUUAUGAAUAUGUAAUUGGAAGGAAGCCAGCAUUCGGUGCAGUUUCUUUCUUCACACACCAAAACCUCACAGAGAAGUUGGUGAUGAGUAGUGUCAGAACAGGGCAUACACAGAGUUUAUACUUCAUGAGGAGAUUGAUGUGAUUAAAGUUAGCUAAUCUCACUUGCCUUCAAUGAUGAACCGAGUCAAUCAACAACACAGAUCCCCAGAUCAAGACAAACCACAGGGAAGAAGAUCUCGAAGUGACGACUCUAAACUGGUAGUGGAGUUGGCCACCGAAACAUGAGAAUCCCUUGAUGUGAUGAGAGAGGAGAGAUGAGGUUAGCCGAAGGUUUUGGUGCUGCCUCUUCAGCUUCUGCCGCCUGUUGCCUCUCUCUCUCUCUCUCUCUCUCUCUCUCUCUCUCUCGUCGUCGUCGNNNNNNNNNNNNNNNNNNNNUCGUUGUCGUCUCUCUCUCUCUCUCUCUCUCUCUCUCUCGUCCUACCACUGGGGUCUUCUCUUCUUGUUGAGCUCUGCAGUCAUGAAGGUGCCGAUGCAGUAGCACAGCAGUAGUAAGCGCAGGACCUGUUGGUGUCAAUAGUAAACGUGUUUCACGAAAAGCUUCCAUUAACCAUCAACUUUCAAUCGGCUUUGGUGAUCGUGUUGCUGAGAUCGUCGGUCAAACCGCAUCAAGAAACGUGGAAACCUUUGAGCUUAGAUGGCAUAUGCUGAAGCAAAAACCAGAUAGGGCGUAUAUAAUAAAUACUGAGAACAAGAAUCCGUGUGCUUAUCCUAACACAGCAGCCCAAAUUGACCAACUUGGCGAGCGCGACGGUAAAAAUCCGCAGCAGCGACGCGUCCCUGUCGAUCAGCGAUGGCGACGCCUCCCCGUCGCCAUCUUCUCUGACCUCUCUCCUUCCCACCUUCCCCUCUCCGCUGUCGCGGCCCAGGCAGCGCCCAGGUGGAAGCGGUCAGGUCCUCUGACGUCAGACGCGGGUUCGUACAGGUGGGGCCACCUUUCCUUCCUUUUUUUAAGUGGAAACUCCCUGUUUCCUGCCUGGAUCGAGACGGCGCACCCACCGCACCGAACGUUAUUACGCUACCAAACUAAAAUAUCCUUUCCCCCGCGGCAAAGACGGACGGUUAGGAUUCUAUCAGAACUGGCAGAGUGGAAUGAUCGAGGCUGCUCGCAAUUAUUAUCUGAUCGAGCAGGGGAGCGCUCUCGAUCGAAUGCGCCCAAAUAGACGCGGAAACAGCUACGGAGAGGAAGGGACGAAGCCGUACCAGACUCGUCCCUCCGCCGGACGCGCGAAAUAAAGAAGGGCGAUCUGUCGUCCCCUUCCUUCUUCCGCAGGCCGACGAGGUUACGCCCCAUGGAUUCUGCGUGCGUCUCCCUUUCCCUUCCUUCUUUUUGCACCCAUCAGUUGCAAAUGCUUUUAUUGAUCACGGUGGGGUGCUCGUUUGCUUUGCCUUUCGCAGGUUUUGUGCGUGGCCUUCUGUUGAUUGAUCGAUCGAUCGAUUUCGUGUGCCAUGGAGAUGUUGAUUGGGUUCGUUCUGUAACGAUGGAGAUUCGGAUCCGGCGAAGGCGUGAUAGAUUCGGGUGUGGCGGCGGCGUUUUGGGGUUUGGAUCCUGGUCGUUCCCGUGUUCUCCUUGAUCGAGGCCUUGUAACGACUUCGAGGUCGGAUCUUUGACCUCCGAUCUGGAGGAAAAUGGAGGAGGAGCGUAGCUCUUGGGUGCUGAGGGCCAAGUUUUCCCACACGCCCUACCAGCGAUCGGGCUCUGCGCGAGUGAGCUUGGCCUCUGAUUUGGCCCUGCUGACCGAACCCAAUGAAUCGAAUUCGGGUGGCGCGUCGAGUUUGCCGUCGAACAGGUCCUCUUUUCGGUCUGGCUGCCAUUCCUUGCCGAGUCCGACGAACUCGCGCGUGGGACCGCGGGAGAAAAGCUCCGCAAAGAAGUCGAGUACCCGACCUGAUGAUGGCGGUCCGUCGGAGGCGAAGAAUCCGGGGAGCCCGAGCGCCCAGUGUUCUGAAUUCUCCUUCUAUCCCCAAGGAUUCCCGGCUCUGAAAUCAGGAGGAGCGAGUUCUGCCGCAGUCGUGAGCUGGAAAUUUCCGGUUUCUCGUCAGAAAGCAGAAGGCUUGAGUUCUACCAUGGGCGCUGCCUGUUCUGGAUGGGCAAAACUAGAUGCCAAUUACCGUCAUGAGCGGGAUCCUAAACCGAAACAAAGGUCGAUAUCACCUCUUCCGACCACCAUCCUCUCCGAGGUCUUCAAGGAAGCUCGUUCGAUCGGGAAAAGAUUCUCCACUCCGCCGCCGUCCAGGAAAAGGUGCGACAGAAGCCGUGAAAAUCACGAGCUUGCUUGGAGAACAGCUAUUGAAUCGACUCAUUCUAAUAAGUCGAGGGCCAGGAAGGAGACUUCUUGGGCGAGGUACUUUGACCAUGGGACAGGGAAGGUCACUGCCUUGGAGACGACAGAGAAAUGGAACGUUGAUCUUUCCCAAUUGUACCUUGGGUUUAGGUUUGCCUGCGGUGCUCAUAGUAGGCUAUACCAUGGCGUCUACAAGGAUCAACCGGUUGCUGUGAAGAUCAUCAGGGAACCUGAUGAUGACGAAUAUGGAGUGAUGGCUGCACGACUGGAGAAGCAGUUCACCAGAGAAGUCACAAUGUUGUCACAUCUAUAUCACCGCAAUGUGAUUAAGGUGCAUGUCGCUACUUCUUAGGUUUCGUGUUUGUCUGGUUACGUCUAAUUCAUCAGCUCGGUUAUGAUUAAUGAUAGCACGAUAUUGUCGUAUACCUCUUGCUUUUAUUCUCCAUGAGUUACUGAAAUCUUUUAACUGGUCUUCGACUUUGCUCUAAGUCAGUUACAGGAAGCUUACUGUAGUAUAGUUUGCUUACCUGACAAACCCCUAACUAAAACAUCUGGUAAAGUGAUUUUCCGGUAACCUCAUGAUCAUUAGAAAGUUUGCCUCGAAAGAGAAGAAAAAAGAGAAAUUAAUAUUUCCUUUUUAUGAAUAUAGAGCAAAAUUAUGUGUCCUGAACAGAUUCAUGAUCACUGACUGUACCUAUGUAACUGAUCAUAUGCUAGAUCCCUAACAUUAUCUAUGAAUUAAUUGAAUUAUCUUUAGUUCCCAUAAUUACGUUGUGCACGAAGGAGUUAUUACUAUGCGUGGAUUUUCUUUGGUUUUUUUCUACAUCUAUCACAUGUUAGGUGGUCCAAAUUGUCCAAUUAUCUUAUUUUGAUAUCGAAUGCUUGAUAAUGUAUGGAAUGACAAACUGUCCUUGACGAACUUGAUUUCCAGUGGAACAUGUCGAUUGCUUGGUAGUCCUUUGUAAUCUGAUCUUUCUCCUUGUGGAACCAAGAUACCCUGAGGGUUAAGAGUAACUUCCCUCGGGAUGAUGCUUUUGCACAACGCCUUUGCAUAACUAAUGCUAUGUUGUAGGCAGAAAAUAAACGUAAUGCUAUAUUAUGGCAAGGACUGAAGUAUGACAUAACCCAUAACUUGUCAAGAGCCAGUCCUCUGAAGAAUUUAAUAGGCACAAUUUGUUUAUCCUGAUAUGACUACUGCCACAGGAUGGUGCAUUUCAAAUGCACUGAUAUAAACAGAAAUGUGGGCAUGUUAUUACGCAUGCAAUUACAAUAAGUAGUCAGAAAUUACAUUAGUAUGGGAGCAAUUAAGACCACAAAAUAUUUGACCAUUUCAUUCAGAAGCAUAUGAUAAUAUUUUUGCUUAUUGAUUGCAUAUGAUGUUGAUCUUGCUGGGGGCGAGAUAACAAGCAAUAUACACUCACCAUAUUUAUCACCAUCCAGAAUGUUUUGUUCCCAAAUGAGCAUAGACAUGUUUUUCAUACGUUUUCUGUAAUUGUACAUGCAAUGUUAUGUGAGGUAACAUGUUCUGUGGAAUCUGAAUCCUUGCUCCAAGAAUGUCAGUAUGUGCUGUGACUGUCAUGCACCAACAUUGCUAAGUUUGACUAAUAGCAUUUAAGAUAUGGAACUUAAGUAGGCGAUGCACUGGUAUGAUGUUAAUUUUGUGCUUUUUAUUGUUAUCUAUGAUGUAAUGCAGCUCGCAGGGGCAUGGAAACAACCACCAGUCUUUUGCAUCAUCACCGAGUAUCUUCCUGGAGGCUCUUUAAGAGCAUUUUUGCGCAAGCUUGAGCACAAAUCUCUUCCUUUACAAAGAUUAAUUUCAAUUGCCUUAGAUAUCGCACAAGGAAUGGAAUAUAUUCAUUCACAAGGAGUUAUCCAUCGUGACUUGAAACCUGAGAAUAUCCUUUUUGAUCAAGACUUAUGCAUAAAAAUUGUAGAUUUUGGAAUCGCAUGUGAGGAAGCAUAUUGUGAUGCAGUAACAGAGGACCCUGGAACUUAUCGCUGGAUGGCACCUGAGAUGAUCAAACAUAAGCCAUAUGGACGGAAAGUUGACGUGUAUAGUUUUGGGUUAUUGCUGUGGGAGAUGGUGACAGGGACAAUCCCUUAUGAGGACAUGACACCAAUCCAAGCAGCUUUUGCAGUAGUCAAUAAGGUACGCUUUUCAUCAUAAUAUUUCCUUCGAUUACCUGAAAUCAACAAUGGUUUGCCUUACCUGUCUAUAUCGGUGUACCGAUCAGCUGUCGGUAUGGUACGUAGCAAAUUAUAUUAAGUCGUACUGAGAAUACUAGCACAUGAUAUUAAACCUUCUACGUAGUAGGGUUUAGUUACUGUUUUAAUGCAUGAUAAGAUUUUUUCUGCACUACUAUGUUCAGUAGUCUAAUUUCAGAGUUUUAUCAAGAAGAAAAGGCAUCUGAUGCUCAAAUUACAUUCUUGAUAUUUUAGAACUUGAGGCCAACCAUUCCUACUGAUUGUCCUGCACCUUUGAGAGCCCUGAUAGAGCAAUGCUGGGGAGUACUUCCUGAGAAGAGGCCUGAAUUUUGGCAGAUUGUGAAGGUGUUAGAGCAGUUUGAGUCUGCUGUAGCUCAAGAUGGAACACUAAAUCAGCUUCAAAACUUGUCCUGCCAUGAGCACAAGAAACGAUUAGUCCAUUGGAUCCGAAAGCUGAAAACUCCCUCGCAUGCAGAUAGCUCAAUUGCCCAAAUGCCCAGACUGUUAUAACUUCGCUCUCUGUGCAACCCAUCACUUUCGAUGGACUUAUGCUGGUUUUUCCGUGGCGUUUCAUCCUUGUUGAUCUGCAGAUUAUACCACGACUGAUCUCAAAGUUCUCUCUCAUCAGCUGCAGGAGUCCGUCUCCAUCUCUCCACGUACAAGGACACCUGCAUGCAUUAUUGUGCAUGAUAAACAGUCUAUAUUCUCCUUUGUCAGAUUAUACAUGUACCAUAGUAGCAGGAAGUAUCAUUCUUAUUAGGUUAAUUUCUAUUUGCUUAGAUGUAUAUUUGCGUAUUAGGUUUGUAGCAAUGCAUUUCAAAAUGGUUGAGGCUGAUGCUUUACUACUGAUCAGUUUUGCAUUUGGUCUUUAAGUGCAAAAUGGAAGCAAAAGAUGCUGACAAAUGCAUUAUUUCGGAAGGAAUAGAGACAACAUAGUGAGCCUGAUGGCGCUUUGAGGUCAAAUAUAGAAAGGAAAGAGAGUAGCCUCUGAAGCAUCGACAACUCUUGGGAGAGAAGUCACUGUGCCAUUGGCAUGUGGACGAACAUUGCUACGUAAUAAGAAAGAUUAAUUGCUUCGUUGACCGAUUGGGAGCUGUUAAAGAUGGGGUUUGGGUGUAAUCCAGGCAAGAGAAGACGUAAAAGGAGGAACAAGCACUUGAAAACAAGAAAAGAUCCAGGUAAGUCAGCACACUAAAAGUGAAAAGCAAGUCUCUUUAUUUGGAUGAGUGUGUCUUUAACACUUGAGAAUGGUCAUGUGCUCCCUUUUAUUGGUCUUUGUGUUGAAAUUUGGAGUCCAAGUUACUCCCCCCUUAUUUAAGCAGUCAACUUCCACAUACUGUUUUUUUGGUCAAAACCAUUGCAUGUGGCCAUUGUAUGAUGGUGUUACAGGGUAGGAGGAUUUCUAUCCUAACCUGCUUGACAGUAACUGGCAAAUCAUUUAUGGUCAUAUGAGUUUGUAACAGAGCCAUAGAUUUCUAAUUUUUCAGCCAUUGCUUGCUGGCUUUUUGCAGCCAGAAUUCGAUAGUUAUGUCCUCUCAUUACUCAUCUGAAAGUGUUGUGGUUUAAGUAAAACAGGCAAAACAUUUGCUAUGAAGAGCAAUAUUCUCAAUGAAUAUUAUCCCAUCUAACAUAUUAAAUUCAAGCCCAACAGGUUUCCUCCAGCAAAAGUGUUGCAAUUGGCGAUGCCAUGCGAAAGCUGAUGAUUCAACAUUUUUUAUUCAUACGCUAUCAAAUGCUUUCUUGCUUCACACUUCCCAAUAGCUGCAUCUGCCGAUCUUUCUUCCCCCUCUGAAUGUCCAGAUCUUGGCAAAUGUCACAGAUAGAUAUUUGUAAUGAAUUCAACUCAGGCUGCAGUUCUGCUGCAUCAACGCCGAGACGUUCUAUUUACAUUGGUUCCGGCCGAACUUGUUGGACCGAACAAUCGCAUCCAUCAGCAAAGUUACCCUCUGAGCCCCCGGUCCGGGCCGGAGCCGUGUCGGAUCCCCGACCUCGGAGCACGGCGGACUACCCGCACACCACCCACCCGGGACGAAGCUUCCAUUAGCCCUGCCAAGAAGCUCCGCGUCGAUCUUGUCCAGCACGGGUUCGUCCCGCCUGAACUUGCGGGCGAAAGGAGCGUUGCUGCCUACCAACUUAGACAUGUCGGCCAUGGUGAGGACGCGCGGGUGCUGCUUCGGCGGCACAUCCCACGCGAUGUAGUGAAGGUCAUGGUUGGCGACGGUGUUGGAGAACUCGGGCGCGUUGCAGAUCACUGUCUGGAAGUAGCCUUCGGAGGAGGAGAUGAAGUUGGUGUAGUACAUGAGGAGCCUUCUCGGUAGGUUGUCCCAUCCCCACACGCAGAACUCGACGAACUCCCGCGACAGAGCAACCCAUGCAGAGCCUGUUAGGAAAAGAGACGACCCCACCGUCAACGCCUGAAAUCUCUCAGUCGUGGAUCCAAAGUUCCAGCAACAAGUACCUGUGAACAGCUUGAAUGCAGUCGGCGUCUCUCUUCUCUGACUUACCCAUAAGAUAUCAGUCUUCUUGCUCAUGUAUAAUCCAGGGUCAACGAUCAAAGGUCUCGCUCUCUGGUCCCUGUAAAAACAAUCGCCUGAACAUUACAACAGAAGAAGCACACUCCACUCAGCCCAAAACAAUUUAAGCAAUUCUACGAACUCUUUCCAAUCCAAUCGGCUCGUGUGCUCCACAAAGCUUAUGUUCCGCGGCAAGGACGAGAAGGUGUGCAGUAUAUCUGCCACCAGACACAAAAACCAGUCACGUACACUGCAAGUCUACAAGAAAGCCGACAAGUGUGAGAGGAGGCUCACCGUCUUGCGUAACGAGAGGGUAAUCAGAGGCACUGAGGUUGAUGAACCAGUCCCACUGCCCGCCCUUCUUGAGAAGCACAGCACAGGCGUGGAGCGCGUUGGCUAUCACCAUCGGCCCUCGAUAGGUAACCAGGUUCGACUUCUUGAUUACAUGCACGUUCCCGACCUUGGCGAAGAGGGUCUCGUUGGCGACGCGUGAAAUCAACCGCAGCCGCUCGCUCGCCGGAGAUUCCAAGUCCAAGUGCACGACGUAGAGGUUCCGAGGAUGGUACAGCGCCCGCAGCGUCCUCCACAGGCGAUCCAGAUCUCCCUUGGAUCCGGAGAUAAAGUAGGCCAACCUGGGAAUCGGGGAACCGACAGGCGGCGGCGGCGGCGGCGAAGCGGGGAACGAUGUGGACUCCACGAUGGCAGGGGUCGUGGCGUUGGUCAGGAAGUACAUGGUGUGGAUGGAGGAGAGGAUGCUCAUGUUCGAGGCGGCGGCGAAGAAGACGAGGACAAUUGAGAUCAGCAUCACAGCCCACACCCAUCUUUUAUCCAUGGCACAGUGUAGCAGAGGAAUCUUCGCUUUCAUCAUCUCCAUCACGGCCACAACCUCCUCCUGUGCAGCUCAGAUUCGUGCCAAAACGCAGCGUACUGCACACUUGAAGGAGGGAACGAGUCCAACGGAGAGACUAGGGUGAGAAGAAGAGGAAAGGGAAGAAGAUGACGAACGAGGGCUCGGAGAAAUAAUAAGGCGUCGGCAAUGCUAGAACACGAGAAUGAAUCAUAACAAAACAGGAUAGGGAUGGUUGAAGGAGAUAAAGAAGGGAACCAGAAGUAGUUCUACGGGAUACGAGAACCACAUAGAAAGUGGAUCCUAUCGCCGUGCAAUCCGAGUGGCGUUCUUCUUCUUCUUCUUCCGUCUUCUUCUUAUAUGCUACAAUAGCCUCCUUUCUCGGUUAAACUCCACCUUAUGGUUUCGUAUUCAUAUUAAGCAUUUGACUUGUCACAAGUGGGAAGAGAAACGCCUCUGGGCACGCGCAUCGGAAACGCUUGGGCAUUUAAGCCACGAAAUAAAGAGAAUAAAAAGGGGGCAAAUACAAUAUUUGUGAGGAUAAAUGUGUGAGAAAAAGGGAGAAGUGGCAUUUGAUCCACCGGAGACGGCAGCCAGUUGUAAGACCAGUCCAUAACGCCAUUACGCCUAAUUACUUACGUGCUUCUUUGUCGAUAGUGUUGGAUACAUUGAUGUGGUCGUCCGACGGCUUGUCAUUGGAGUCGUCGCUCCGGUCCUGCUAGUUUGGUCCAUCUCGCUCGUCGGAGGGUCAAUAUGAUUACGUCUUUGUCGCUCGUUUCUCUCUGAUGCUGCUAAUUCAUAUGAGGAGAAUAUUAUAAUCAAAUAUUAUAAUAUUUUUCUUUAAUCUUGCACGAAUUGGUAUAUAUAUAUAUAUAUAUAUACCAAUUCGUGCAAGAUUGCCGCUCUCCUCGCACGACUAUUCAAGCUUUCCUUGGAGAGAAGCACACGUCCUAGGUAGCGAGAUGGAAGAGUCGCGACACACCGACCCGAACCCUAGCGAGGAGGUGUUCCAUCCGAGAGGAGGAGGAAGAGGUAAGAAUGAUCCCUUCCCAUGUAAAUUCGCCCCUCGAUCGAAGGUUUUUAGCAAUUCUUUUUUGGGGGUGACGAGGCAGAUUAGAUCGGUUUGGGGGGGGGCCGCGUCUGGGGACUUUUGUGGUUAGAAGGGCUUCUUGGGCUUGGUAACGUGAGAAAGAUUCGGGAUGGGCUUGCCGACAUUGUUCGGGUUUGCGAAAUGAUCCCGUUCUUGGUUGUGAUUUCGAUCGGCGGCAUCGGAGAGGGAGGAACGUGGGUUUUUGAUCUUUUGCUUUCCAUUGGUUGUUCGUUGGAUGUCAUGCGAGGGUUUUGAAAGAGGAAGGGGAAAUGAGGAGCCGGAUAGUUCAGUGAUGGAUCGGGUAUUUGUGGGUUUCUUCUGCGAUAGAUGAGCAAAUCCGGGUUCUGUCCUCGAUCCUUCGAAGAACCCCUUUCAUUUUUUUGAUGGUGAACCCGUUUGCAUUUACCUUUCGUAUGUGAUCAUUAAGGUUCCCGUCUUUUCUUCCUUCCCUGAUUCUUGUUGCUGAAAUAUUAUGUACUAUGAAAAUUUUCUGAAUUAUUUUGCUGCAAUCUUUCUAUAAAUUUGAGAGGUUUUGGAUAUGAUCGACAGGAUCGUUUGAAUAUUCUUGGGUGGCCAUUGUAAACGUCUAUGCAUGGCACCUGACAUGGGUUCAGUAUCGUUCUUGCAACAUCCGAUUGAGUGGUACAAGGAUGCUUGCUUGAUACUAUUGAUAAAAUCUGCAUUAUGUGUAUAUGUACUUUGCGUGAUUCGUGCCUGAUUUUUCUUUGAUACCAUCCUAAUUUGGGGAUACGCUUUAGAUCAAGCGCAGGAGAGUCGGGAUAGAGAAAAAUAAGAGUUGCUUAGUUUCAUUUUGGUCCUUCUGUUUGGAUCGUAUAGUUUCUGAGUUUUAGUCAAAAUAUCAUGUGAGUAGCGAGUUAGUGCUUCUUAGGAUUACUCAAGGAUGUCCUGUUUUUCCUUGUGUCUAUUGUUCUUGAUGUGUGUAUGAACUUAAACACUCCACUCUCUGAUGUUUUCUACAAGUUCUCAUGAGUCACCAUGAUUGUAGCACAUAACACUCACUUAUGGGUUGCUUCAGGUGAAGAUAUAUUAGCAAAUCUUAAUAGUUGCCUGGAUGUUGCAUAUCAGUUAGGUAAACUUGGAAAUGCUACAAAUAUUCUGUUGGAUAAAUUUAGGUUAAUAACUAUGCAUGAAUUGACUACAGGCAGUCGUAAUUUUAACUUGCAUCCUGUUCUGUUUCUUUCCUCACACACAUCUUUUGUAAGGCAUCCAUCCCUGUGCAAAUUUAAUUUCUCAUUUUCUUCAUCUGAUGAUUAGAAGUCCACAGGUACACAAGGUAAAUUUUGAGUCUCAUGGGGAUUUGGAUGUAUUUCAGAAUUAUCUAGAUGCUAAUUCUUAGACUAUUUAUCUUAUUUUCCACCCUGUUGCUUUGCAGAAGUUCCUAAUAUAUCCAACUUGAGUUAGACAUUGCCCCUUAUGGCACCUUGUCUAUCAGCAUCACUAGUUCAUAAGAAUUUAAGUUUAGGUAGUAAACAAUACUUUAAGGGUGAAGGUUGUAGAUGAUGCUGCCUCUCCAUCUUCCUUUUCAAAGCAUAUGGUUAGGAUGAACUGGUUUACCAUAGCAAUCGAAUUGUUCUCAUGCAAAGAUUCAUCAUUGAAGGCCCUGAGUUUCUUAUGUUGGUCGAACUUUGGGCAGUCAUUUUUUUAUGUACUAUUAUUUUAUCUACACUAUUUAUUUGUUGACAUCUGGAUGUGGGUUUAUAGAUAAUGACUGGGAAACUGUUCUUGAUGGCUAAACAUUUAUACCCCUUAAUGUGGUUCAUGGUAACCAGGAGUCUAUGGCCCAGAUUGUGUAGAAAGGAUGUUGACUUUGGUCAAUGUUUCAGUACACUGGGAUUAUAUUUCAGCCAAAACUUCACAUCUCAGCUUAGGAAUUGCUCCACUUUAUUUGUAGCUUAAGAAUUGGUAAGCCUCAUGCCAGAAUAAGGGUUGCCCUACUAGGUUUACAUUUUUUGAGAUCAGCAUACAACUUAAAGAGCUUUUUUCAUAACUUAUAAAAAAAAUAAAAAUAGGCAUCUGAUCUUUUGUUGGUUGAUGCAAUUGUUCUUGAUUCAAGAAUGAAGUACACACAUGGUCUCUUCCUUUAAAGAUGAAGAGGAAUUGAGGAUACAUGUUCUUCACAUUAAAUUUGAGCUCUCAAACAGAAUGAAAAUUCUGAGAAUGCACUUAACUAUUAAAUACAGAUUCUGCUGCUGAUAUGAUUAUUUUCUUAGCAAUUAACAAGUUUGUUUUUAGGCAAAAUAGUUUCUUCCUAUAAAUCUUUUACCAGGACAUAUAUGGAGAUUAACUUAUGAACUGACUCUAUUUUGUAAACAGAAGUAAUAUCUACUGUCUUUGCCUUUUUGCUUGUAAGUUUAGUGCAUGACUGUUGCAGAAUUGACCAUGUAAGGAUAGGUUCUCAGUACCAACUUGGAGCUUGACUGGUGAAAGAAGCGUCACUUAUCACCACUGCAAUUCACAACCAAAUUAAUACCAAUAUUUUCUUAUUAAUUAGGAUAGAUAAAAAUGUUUAAUACAAAGGUAGACAAGGCAGAUACAGCCUUAUCCCAUCUGACAACAUGACACUGAUAAUAGACAGCCAUGCACACCCAAUUUAUUUAAUCAAACAUAAUAGUAAUACCCCACACUUUUUCCAUAUUCCAAUUUUUAUAUAUUAUUACUGAUAAGUACUUCACUGGCCACAUUUGUGGUCAAAACAAGCGCAGGCAGGACCACACUUGCACAUGCCAUCAUUCUCAGCAGCUGCUGGGGCAUUGAUCACGUUGUCAAAGUAGCUGAAGAAAUUACAUGAAAGAACUGUAAGUGUUGAUCUGUUUUAGAUGCUUUUCUUCUAACUAGCAUUUCUGCACAUUAAAUGUUAUGUUGUCGUCUUCUGGUUUAUAUGAUCAAAAUAAAUCAUCGAGAAAUAUUAUAUGUGUUAUACCUCAUUUCCUGCAAGUUAUGCCAGAGAAACUAGAAUUGAGAAAUUGGAUCUUUUUUUCAAAUCAUAAAUAGGAAAGCAAACAUUAAGAUUUUUGCAUUCCAGAAAAAUUGAGGUAUGUGGAGAUGGUAUGGCAUCGUAUAUAUUUUUCAUAUUCAUGAUCGUAAUAAAAUAAUGGUCAACAACUGUCAAAUUUAAAUAUGUUGUAUAUAACCUUGUAGAUUUAAUUACUAUGCUUUAACUUUGAAAAUUAUUUGAAGUUAUCAAAUACAGUUAAGGUAGCUCUAAACAAAGCAGGGCACUUUCCAGUUGAUAUUAAGUUAGUUUCACUUAUGCUAGAACAUUGGCUAAUGAUGUAUCUGUCAUCAUCUUUGUUUUCUGCUUAUGAAAAUAUAGCUUAUUUUUAAUUAUAUUUUCUUUUCACAGACAUAUGUUGGGUGCCCCUCACUUAUGUCACUUGAAAAAUAAAAAGAUCAACAAGUUAGGAAGUUCAUCAUGAAAUAUAAAAUAUCAGAUUUGGCCCCAGGAAAGGAGGUUGGGUAGCUAACACAUAUGCACACAGAAAAAUUAGAAGAAAAAGAACAUAGAUACCUCUUUUCGGCCCCAACAAUCUCAAUUCCAUAGCCGUUUCCCUUCUUCCUGCAAGACAAAUCAAAUUCUUUUUAAUUAUCUCAAUCUAGUGCUUUAUGUGAUUGAAUAAAUAAGGCAUGGAAGACCUGUUUGAAUUCUCCCCAUAUGUUACCACAGCGUGAAGAGUUAUUUUGUACAUUUGAUCACUCGUUAGUUACCAAAACAUAUAAAUGAUUGAGCACUUUGAGUAAUUAGGUAUGAGGUGUAUAUACCAAUUUUUUUUUAAAAAAAAAUGUUGUGGUAUCACAAUUUUAUGCAUAGAGGAUUAUAAAUCCAUUAUUCUCGGUGCAACUCAACAUGUCCUCGACUUGCUAAAACAUAGGCAACACAAGAUGAAGGGUCGAAGUAGAUGAUGACUUACACGCACUGGCUCUUGUCAGCGCAGUCGCAGUUGCCACAGGUUGACAUGUUGAGGUGGAAUGAGAUAACUGAGGGCAGAAGGCUACAAGAAAGAUCAAGAGUUGUGGGAUGUGUUCUUGGGGAUGAGUGUUUGCUUGGUUGGUGCUUAUUUAUAGGCCUUUUUUUUUUUUUUGGUUCCUGAAGAGACCUCCCGUCAUUGUUUGUGCUGUCCACACGCCGCCACCAAGAUAAGCAUCCAAAGGAAUCUCAAUUAUGGGGAGCAGAAGACGGACAUACACCUCUCAUGUCAACAUCUUAAUUCUCUGACCUUUUCCCAAUGUUGGAGAUAGGCAUCGAAGCUUGUGAAGGUUCAUCUUUCCAUACCAGGUGUGGUGGAUAUUCUGUCAUCCUCUUGCUGAGUUGUGAUGGGAGUUUUGUGGAGAGUAGAAUCCAUCAGACUAUCAGGCCAAGGAGGUGGAUAUGAUCUCAUCCAUUGUUCAUCAAGCAAUGAUAGUUUACCCUGUAAACUUAUGCAGGUGGCCAAGAUGGUUGUGAAGCAGGUAAUCUUUGGGGUAUGCUGUCACUAAUUUUGGUCUCUCUGCUUGUUGGUCUAAUAAGAUGAUAGAGGCAUCUUAUUUGAGCAAUGAUUUGAACAAUAUCUACUUGCAUUAUGUUACAGGAACAUCGAUGAAGGGUGGGGAGAUUCUGAAGGUAAUGGUUCUACUUGUGCGCCUCACCUCAACAUUUCUGGCGUGGUCUGGUCUGGUCUUUAAAUCAACAGGUUCUACUGCUUCCUAUACAACAAAUCAGAAUCAGCAUUUUCAAGAUGGGGCCAGUUUUACCAGCAGCAGAUAGGGAGGGGCCCAAAGGCCGGCUUAUUAUAUGCAACAUUCUAGUUAUGGAAAGUAGAACAUCAUGAAUGCAGGCUGCUUCCACGACAAUGACUUAUCAGAGAGGGGGAGGGGGGGAGCGGGCUCAUGCUCAUCGAGUAUCGAAAUGAUGAGGUGUAUGUGUGUGUAUGUAUAUUUGGGAAUUCGCCUAGGGAAUGUAUCGAAAUGAUAUUUUUCUAUUUUAUUUUCUUAAAAUAUGUUGGAUUUUUAAUUAUAUAUUUUUUUAAAAUCAACAAUAAGCAUUGCAUAUAAAGUUAAUAUAUUUUUCUUCGAUCGUGAAAACUUAAUUAAAAUUUCUUUCUUAUAAAUUAAAUUUUAAUUUUAUUAUCGAAUGUUGCUGAUCUUUUUAUCCACUUCCUGCAAUCGCUUUUCUCAGCGUCAUUGACAUCUCACAGAAUUCAUAAGCAAAAUUGAUUAAAAGCUGUAUCUAGACCUCCAACUUUGAUUAAUAGUGCCAAAUCUAAUUAAACUCCUGCUUACUCAUGUCAUUCUUUCACUUCACCUUGCUUGUAAGAAAGAAAAGUAAAAGUAAUCUGGAAAGAGAACACAAAAAAGCAAGACAAAGAGACAAAAAAACAAAAAAACAAAAAAACAAAAGAUUGUGAUAUGAUGCAGAGUUACAAUAUAUCUUGCAAUAUAUCAUAGAAAUGGUUAAGGUCAAUUUUCUCUUUUCCAGAACGAAUAGCUUCGGCACUUUUUCCAUCGGAUCCUUGUGCAGCCAUCUCCACAAGCAUAUACAACUUCUUGAUUGAUAUCUGAAACAGUCCACAUAAACAUAGAGAUCAGUGAUUACCUUUUGAUUCAAUUAUGUGAUGUGACCAAUAACAAGAUUGUGAGAGAUAAUUUACAGCAAAUAAUUUACUUAUACUCAACAUAAUAACUUACAUCAUUCAGUUCUUCAACCGCUAAGUCAAGAUCAUCUUCAGAAAAUACGCUGAGGCUUUGCAGCACCUGGACAGAUAUCAUGAAUUGAGGUUAAAAAAUAAAAAAACAGGAGCAAAUAAUCCUCAGGAUACUUAAACGUUGACAGUAAAACGUUUAGAAUAAUUAUCGCCAUCAAAAAGAUUUUGCCCUUAGAUACAUCUACAGUAAGUGCCAAAUGGUCCUACAUAAUAAAUAUAUAUUGAUUCUAAAAAAUAACUAUAUACUGCUUAAGUCACAUAGCCGCACUCUUUGAGCUGGCUGGAUUCAAAAUCCCUGAAAUGUCACCUGAAAGAACUAUAUUCUUCUUAUAAAAUGCCUGAUCCAGUGUAUGACUCCAUAGACAUGACAAAAUUGGCUCAUAGUUUUUGAAGAGAAAAUAAAUCCCAAGGAAAAGCAGCAAGCAAACAUGUAAUAAAUGAGAUGAACAACAGGAUCCUACUAUUCAUUCCUUGGUUGUGUAUUAUGUUCAUGCAUCUAUCAGUUUGACUUCGGAAAUACCAUUGUAAUAAAUGGUUACGAGGAAAUACAGCUCUAGCCUUCUGUACACCUCCAAAAAUUAAACUGGGCACGACCUUAAACAUAUCUGUUGGCAUGUUACUUUACCUUCUUGGCGUCUUCCCUGUUCAAUCUCGGAACAUGAUAUGUAACAGAGAAUGCAUCACAUAUACCAAGAGACUCCAAAAAUCCCACCUCGCUGCUUGUCCCUAUUACCAGCAUGUUCUUACCCUGAAGAAAAUUAAGACGUCAUAAAACAAACAAAAUAGCUACAGUAAACUAUGGUUCACUGAUGGGAAAAAUCACAAUGAGCAACUUUGGGACAAAAAGAAACUAGAGGAUAUAACAUUGAAGUCAGUGAUAUAGCUUUCUUUUUUCUUUCCAUUUUUUUUUCUUUUUACUAUUCGACAACGAGAACCAUAAUACAGAAAAUAAGAAGAGAACCUUUGGAGGAAGCCGUUUCAGGAGGACUAAUAAUGUCUGUGAAAUUAAAUUUGAAAAGCGCGGUCCAAUAGCAACAUACUCUAAUAACCUGAAGAGGUGAACAUCGCAAGAAUUGUCAACUCACUAUAUACCAAGAGAAUCAGAGUGCAAUACAAGUUUACUUUCCUAAAUGUAAAUAGAGGUUAGUCAAGAAUUGGCUAUCAGAAAUCAAGUUUAACAUAGAAUGAGGUUCUGAGGCUGUAGUCCAAUAUGUUCAAGUAAUACUAGGAAUCUCUGGAAAAAAUCAGAAUGAAUCACACUACCUCUCAAUAUCAUCAAGAAUUAUGAUGCUUAGUUGAGAUUUAUAAGCAUCUUCAAAAACCUGUGAAAGACAAGAUAGUUCUACUUGAGUUUAAUUACUGAAGCUUCAGAAAGAUAGUUCUACUAGUACAAUAUCGGGCUCAUACUAACCUUGACAAUUUGUGCACAUUUACUUCCUUCACUGAGACCGAUCAUUGUUUCUGCAGAGAUCUACGCCACGAAAGGUAUCGAUCAUUAGAACAAAAGAACAACCAAGGCACUCUGACCAUCCAAAAUGAGAACUUACAAUCUUGACAAAUGGGAAAUCACUCUCAAUGCCAAUUGUAGCUGCCAUUGCGGUUUUGCCACUGACACCAAAGAACUAUUAUAUAUAAAAAUGCUAAGCACAUUCAGAUUUUAUCAUUUACAAUAACUCUUGUAAAUUACCUGCCACUAAGACCUUCCAGAAGGCAUGUAACAAGUGGGCUACCCUGGCUUACUUUUACUUGCUCCACGAGAAGCAUAGCUCUUUCAUGUAUGUGCAUGUGUCUCUCACCACAGUCAACAAUGCCAUUAAGCCUGCAUGCCAUUCAAGUUCUGAAGAUAAUACUCCGUAAUCAAAACAAAACUGAGAUCCAAUUCGUGUUUAACAAAUGAAUAGAGUGAACAUUUGCUGGAAAAAGAUAUGGAUAAUUUAGUUUUAAGCCAUAUGCAUUACAAAAACCUUUGUUCAUCAUUAGAAGCCUAAUGAUGUUUCAUACUUUAAUUUUACAAUAAUGUGGUAGAAACCAAAUAUUGCAAAUAAAAAUUAAGGAUUCAAAUGUUGGUCCGACUGGUAGAUACCAAUUGGCAUUUCCAGUCUGACCAAGGAUCAAAAUAGAACCAAAUAGUCCCUAUGGUUGGUAUGUGAACUUUGUAUUAUUUUUUUCUGAUGAUACUGAACAGGAACAAGGUGGUCUUCUACUGAUAUAAUGGUACCACAGCAGUUCAACCAGUUCUGAAAAUGGUACUCAUAUAUAAAACCUUGUAGAAACACCAUUUAAUAUGGAUCAGGUUUUUAGAAAUAUCAAAAUCAUGAACAAAAUUCUUUAACAGCUCUUGCAACAUAGUUUUCUGAAGUGUUUUUUUUAUAUUUAUGAUGACAUUAUUUAAACCCCACUUAAGUAGCAAAGGCUAAUUUUCAAUCAAUCAACCAACAGAAUAGUUAAAAAGAGUGAUAAAAAAAGCAAAGAAAACUUUUUGCAUAUAGGUAAUACCCCACCAUCAAACUAGGCACAGUAUCCAAUCAAAGAUUCAAUGUUCUGCAGAAAAAUGACAAAAGAAUGAAAAAAAACUAGAGGCACAAAAAGAUUAAACAAACACAUUGUUGGUAAGACAUUGACCACAAAAUAUAGUACAGAGAAAAAAUUUAAAUCUGUUUGACAAGUGAUUUUGACAUGAUUAGCCAUUAUGAUUUAUAACUGGAUGAAAAAUAUUGUUAGCAUAUAUGCAUUUCAGAAAAAUGCUUGACCAACUUAGUCACAAAUGAAGCAUGCACCUAAAUCCAGGGUGACUAGAACAUAGUGCAUAUCAAGGGCUGUUUGGCACAAUCAGGUCCCUGUGGCCCCUUCAGGAACACCUGGAGAAUUCUAUUUGAAAUUUCAAAAGCAAGAACAAAAUUAUGGCAACUAUCCCUUCAUAUGGAUCAACUGUCUCAGAAAAACCAUAAACAGCACCGUAUCCAAGUUUGCAAAUUCCAAUGAGAAGAAAUGUCCAGUGUUUUAAGAUGAGAAGGUCUACAAUUAAUAGAUGUAUCUUCUAAGAAGAAGCUAGGAGCCGUUUCUGCUUCAGAAAUGUUCAGAGUUUUAAGACGAGAAGGAAAUCAACACUGAAGGUGUUUCACUACUCCCAUCAACCCCAAAACCAACUAGCUAUAGCAUGUGAAAGAACUCCACAUUCACGCAAAAUUAGUCACUGAAAAUAGCUGAGUGCCUUUUACCUAGUAAAAAUGUUUCUUUAAAAAAAAUCCAAUAACUUUAGAAGGUUCCAACACGUAAGACAGGUUUUAUCCACAAAAAUUGCUCUCUUAAAGUCUUGGGUACUUUGUAUCAUCUAAAUCAUUUCCUGACACGAGAACAAGAAGCAUUUGGAUUCUAGGUUGAGCCCAGGAAUAGGCAGGCAUAAGUUCCCCACUUAAAAUGGGAACAUCUUGGAGUGGAGGAUGUGUCCAUUCAGUGAGUGUGAAGCGUUUAUCAGAGUGGCUAUAGAAGGUUGUUGGCCUUGAAUGUCCCAACAGUAGUGUUGCUAUGUAGUGAUGUGUACCAGCUUUACAAGAAUAAAAUGGAAAGUUAAUUAUACCUGCAACGUUCAAGAUCAUCAGUGGAUGCACCAAAAGCGGGGACAAUCUCAUGAAGAGCAUGCAAAAAAUCAUCCAUAGUGACUUUUAUGCUCUCCUCAUCCAAGGGUUUAGUCAAAUCAUCCAUGCUUAUUUGUCUAUUCAAGGCAAAUGAGACAGCACUUUUAACAACACCUUCCAAUUCUGCUCCACUGUAAUUUUUUGUGCGUGCAGCUGCACAUAGAACAUGAAAAAAAUUAAUUAUCAACCAAAUAUAUGUUGUAGCAAUACCCCCAUUCAUACAUCCAAGAAAUCUUAAGAUGUGCAUGCAUAAGCUCAAUCAUAAAAAAUAUCCUAUUUGUUGAACCAUUAAAAGAAGAGAACAAUUACAGAAAUCAGAAGAAAGCACAAAUAGAUGUUUGUCUCAGUUUGAAUGUACAUGUGACUUAAUGGUAAGAACACUAAACUGCUAAAAGAGGGGAACAAAAAACAAAAACUAAGCCAAUUGACUAAACAUACAACAAAAAAAAGAUCAUCUCACCCUAAAUUUUCUCAAUAUUAUGAUUCACAUCAUCCUUAUUGACAAUUACAUCCUGCAUAUUAUGUUCUAUGACAUCCGUCUCCUGCCAACAACACUUGCCAUUCCAAAGAAAAUAGGGUUCUAAACACUAAAAAUAUAAAGCUCAAGCAUCUUGGCAUCCUACUUGUCUUUCCAAUUGGGUUAGAACACUAUCAACCAUGAUAACGACCUUCUCAUAUACCAUAACCCUCAUUUCAUGUGCAUGUGAUCAGUGUUCACAUCUCUCACAAAGCAUUUGCAUGUUCUUUGGCUUUUUACAACAUUCCAACACCAUAACCAGCUUUCAGAUUUUUUUUCCUCCACAAAGCAUUUGAAGUAGAAAAAACAUGCAUGGACAUGAGUCAAUAAAACAUAUAUGAUGCAAAAAUCUGCAGAUUAGCUACCAUAAAUGAGAUAUCUAAAACAUCUACAUGUUCUCCCAUCAGAAACAACCACAAGAUCCUUUAUCGAACUUCUUGAUGAUCCUAACACAAUUCUUAAACACCUUAUCCUCAUUAAAAGUUGUGAUUAGAUAGACAUAAAACUAACAGUAAUCUCAAUGGCCAAGAAUAAUCCAUGUAGCUCAAACCUAGUUCAUAUCUGUGGGUAUCAUGAAGCAUACCUUCAUAAGCCUAUGUACAUAUUACUAACAAAUGUCAUACUUGCUAACAUGAUCAAAAUUUACUCCCAAAAUAAACAUAAAAUACAUAUACAAAACAAAUGCUGGCAGAAUGUGUGAGCAACUAACAAACCAGUAAAGCUGCUAUCUGUCCACAAAACUUUCUUAGAGCAUAAAUGUAAUGUUCCAUGAAAAGUAAAUGAUUUAUAUGAGUUGAAAUAAAUGUAAUGUUCUCCAAAAAGUAAAUGAUUUGUAUAACUUGAACUUUAAGAGCAUUGACAAUCACUUAGAUCUUUUGCAGUCGGUGAUGUCCCCGAGGAAUGGCCAAAGGUAUCAUGUGAUAACUUGGGUAAUUUUAGAGAAAGCAGGUCUAGAUAUUAAACACAACUCUGUUAUUAAGCAGGUCUAGAGAAAGCAGGUCUAGAUAUUAAACAAAUUGAUAUAUUCAGGAAUAAUUUACCACAAUGGAUUUUGUAUUUUAUUUUAAGACGAUGAUAACAGAGAUAGAACUCAAGUGCUAAGGCAGGCUUCAUUCAAUAAAGAAACCAAAAGGACCAAAUUAGGACUACAUACCAAGCUCUUGAAGGCUCACAUCCGCUGCAAGAAAAGAAUUUUCUUUCAUUUUACUAGUAUGUAUUUGGAGAAUUUGUAAGCGACCAUUCUCAUCAGGGAGGUUAAUCUCAACAUGAACCUCCAAGCGUCCAGGCCUAGAAAAUGAGCACAUCAAAUGACAAGGAUAAAGUAGAACUGCAACAUAAAGCAGGAUCAAGUACAUAUGGGUACCAGAAAGAAAUCAACGGAAUGAACUUCAAAAUAUUUUCCAAAAUCAAGCAAUCACAAGAUGAGCAAUGGACCUUAGCAGUGCUUCAUCCAGUAAAUCCUUCCGAUUGGUCAUUCCAAUCAGCAAUACGUUGUUUAAAGAUUCAACACCGUCAAUCUAGAAUGCAAAAACACUAUGUUAGCAUCAAGGUCCUGAGUGUCAUGAUAUUAUGUAACCCUUGGUAAAGUUCACCUUUGUGAGGAGCUGGUUGACAAUGCUGUCAUGAACUCCAGUACCAUCCCUAGUGGACCCUCUCGACUGCAAUUACAAUAUUUAAAAGGUUAGCAACAAAGUCCAUUUCUGGAAAAAAUUUCAAUAUUCAGAAAAAAGUUCAAACAUAUCUUCUAAUAAAAGAUGUAUCUUGAUUAACAAAAAAAAAUGGUGGAUAAAUUCCAAAUUAAAACAUUUUCAAUGAUCCAUCUCAGAUACACUACAAAAGGAGGGCAACAAAAAAAGUUCUAAAAUAAUAGAAGUUCCUUUACAUUUCAACCAAAUUGCCAAUACCACCUAAGAAUUCCACAAAUAAUUAAUACAACACAUAACACCCACAUGAGGGUGCAAUAUAUGUUUUAAUUUUUUCACCACAAUCGGAUGGAAUUGAUCACACUGUUGGACCAAUGAAAAUAAAUGUAUGCAGAAUAUCAGCAGUAGCAUAAGAUGUGUCAGAUGCAAGCAGAACUAUCUAAAAAGUAGAACGAUAUAGAAGCUAAUAAAUGGAAUCACCAAAGGAUGGAAAAAAAUCAUGAUGCUUGGAAAGUGAUGAUAGCAAGAAAGAAAACUUUUUAGAAAAAGUACCAAAUGUAUCUACCUUACAGAUAGCAUCAAUUUCAUCAAAUAUGAUGACAUGCAAGUCACUCUGAUCACCUGGAAAUAAUCACAUGAAUAAUGUUUUGCAAGGGAACCAAAAAAACACUGUAAAUUUAACAAAUCAAAUAAUUAAGAGACAGCUGCGUACCUUGAGUCCUCUGAUCAUUCUCAGCAUCAGCAAACAAGUCUCUCACAUUUUUCUCUGUUUCUCCAACAUAUUUACUUAAGACUUCAGGCCCAUUAACAAUCUAAAGUUAAAGAAAUAUUUUAUAUUUAAGUGGGCAUGUAUUGGACAAUAAACAGAUUAGCAACCAAAAUACACAAUAACUGUUUGAACAAUGGACUAAUAAAUGCAAUGAAGCCUGGAGAAAUAUAUGCUGCUGAUGGUUUCCACAGUAAGAACCAAACCAAACCUUAUUUUCAUUGGUAUAGUAAUUUUUUUGAACAAAACCAAACAACAAAAUCUAAAACUAGAAUUGUUGAUUUUAAUUCUCAGCUUUAUUUAUAAGCAAAAUUUCAAACCUUAUUUUUUUAUAAGGUACAGAUUUUCAUAUCCAGAUUUCAAAAGUAGAUGAUUAUCUUUCUGAUGCUUAGAUCCAGCAAUUGUGAUGUGUCAUUUAACUCAUUCUUGACAAACUACCCUAUUUCUUUGACAAGAUUUCUAGCCUUUAUUCCUUUCCUAGUUUAUAAAUGUGAAAGAUGCAUACAUGUUUAAUAUGCAAAUUUUUAUUAUUGUUCAUAUUAAGUAAAUUUCAUGACUGAUUGUGCCCACUCUUGCAAACUUAGGUCUUUCCUUUUUAUUUAUUUAUUUUCAUUAUGUAUAAUUGAACUCAUGAAUCGAUAAUUGGUACAAAGCAAAGUCACACAAAGCAUGUAUUUCCCUAGCCCAAACGAGUUGCAGGUGGAAACUGGAACAUUUAUAAACUAUCAAUUAAUUUGGCAAAAGAAUAAUAAAAUUGGUCUCCUAAUGUAAAAUACCCAUUUUUCUUUAGACUGCUCACCUGACUACUUGUUUAUAUUUUUAAAGAAAAUUUUUAGAUGAACCCGGUUUGGAAGUUAAAAAGGAAUCCUUGUUAAGGUGCACUUCCGUCACUGCUCUCAUCCUCAAAUCUAUUUUUCUAUCACCUUUCUGAUCUUCCCAUGCAUGUUAUUGACGGCUUUGAGUUGGUAACUAAAUCAUUUGUUGCUAACAUAUUUAAUUUUAUGCAAUACUCGUACCAAAAUCAUGGUAUACCCAAGCAUCCUAACAGAUGCCUACUAGACCCUUGUCCACAACUAGAAGUCCAUCACUGCAUUUGGUACAAGCAUUUGUAAGAACACUAACUUAAGGUGUACAUGUUCUUACAAGUUAUUCAUAGAAAAUCAGCUGGAUGGUUAACUGAUCCAUGACUGACUUGUAUCAAUAAUCCGAGUUGGACAUUAACUAUAGAGUGGUUUACCCCAUAUCUAUAUGAAUACUCCAUCAUAAUUAACCCAAGCAAACUUAUAUGAAUAUCUACUAUUACAUUUCAAAUAGAGAGUUCUUGAUAGUCGUUAGCAAAUAUAGGUAUAGACUUUUUCAUAUAUCAGAUAGAACACAUGAAAAUAAUUCCUAAAGGAAAGAAAUGCUGAAACAUAUUAAGUAUAAGAAGUCAUGCCAACAGAAUCAGAAGAAUGCAUGAAUUGGUUUUGAGCAUAUAAGUCAAACCGAUUAGCCAGAAAAUGAACGGUUUAACCACAAAGUCAAACCUUUGGCUCCCUUCCAUUCAACAGCUUCCCUAUUUGACGAGCCAUAAGUGUCUUGCCGGUACCAGGAGGUCCAUAUAGCAGCAUCCCUUUCACAUGCUUGAUACCCAAUCUGCAGGAUACAGUAGUCAGAAAGGAAUCCAUACUUGACAAGUUUUCUGUAACAAACUCAAAAAUCUAUUCACAGAAAAAUGUUAACGUUACUUGCUAACAACAUGGGAAGGAAAAACUCGAGAAGCAAAUGCCCUUCGAAAAAUUUCUGUAAAUUCAACACUUAGUCCUCCUAUUCCCAGCUUCAGAAGGUUGAACUCUUUAUGACGGAAUAUUUUGCUGCUAGCAGCUUCACGCUGAUUAAUUAUCUGUAUGAAAUACAAUAUAUAUACAUAUCAUUCUCAUGGCAAAUUGUUCGCAUUUACUUAUGGAAAAGAGUGUCAGAGUUAAUCCCUUUCACAAAAUUUGGUAAAAGAUUAAAUCAACGGAAGAUAUCAAAAGAACCUUAAUGCCCGAAUUUGGAGAAGCUUCAAAAACAAAAUAUGUCUCCAUGGAUAUCAUUCCUCUAUCCACGCCUUUGGAAUCAUCUUGUCCCUCAAGCAGAGCUUGACUAAUCGUAAAUAUAUAGUUGGUUCCACAAUAUUCAAAUAAUACCUUUUGACCAGUUGUCAUAAUCUGUGUACGAAUAUCAAAUAGCUUCAAGUUAAAAUUACACAAACCAAAUCCCACAAUGACUUAAGGCAUAAUCAAACAAGCUUGUUUUUGAAACAGGCCGAAGGCCUGAUACAAAUGUGUUAUGAUGAUUCUAAUUACAAAGUUCACAGGCAACACAACAAGGAUAAAAGUAUGCUUGCCCAUAAUUGAUAAUUCCAUUUGAACACCCUGCUACCUGUGAUCAGUUUCGACAUGGAUACUUUUUAUCAAGAACCAUCGUAUACAAAUUUAAUAAUUCAACUCUUCCUUGGGUCUAAAAAAAAGUGGAUAUAUUAGAACAUAUUAUAGAACUUAUUGUACCAAAAGUUCCUUAAUAAAUCUCAUUUAUGUCAUCAAAAAAUCAGCAAUUUUAGGAUGGUUUGACAAUGAAAUUACAAAAUGCUUGCCAGCAAGUGGAUCGAUACAACCAUUUGGGAAAAUUGUAUAGAAAUACUAUGUAAACAUUACAUCAUAUUUCAGUGGCUUCAUAUUUAAGAAUUUGAUCUUGAUUUUUUUAUCUGAAGCACACAGUUCCUAUGACUUUCACAGAGAAGUCUUCAAUAAGCUUUGAAUUGCAGAAGUUGUAUUUGUUGCAGCAAAGAAGAACUCAACACUCAGGUUAAAGAAGAGGAGAAAAAAAACAGAAGAAACACGAAGAAAGAAAGGUAAAAGUUCUGGAAGCCAUGUCAUCGAGUUGCAUGACAAAAGAAUGAUUCCAUAAAAUAUAGGAGGGAUUUCUAAAGUUCACUCUCUAUUUGUCUGUGUAUGUUGCUCUUACAUUUCAUUUCUUUAAAAAAGUAGGUAUAAUACAGUUUUUCUCUCCCUUACUCAAAUUUCUUUUCAGAUUAAUCUCCUUUCCAUGCGUUGAUGCACACACACAUGCACACUCCUAUUCUUCUAGUUCAAUAACCCUCAUUUCGUCCCCUUUACUGGCUAAAGAACAGUAGCUUCCAACUCCUUUUUAAUUUAUUAUUCAUCAAAUCCAAACUACAUUUCUGUCCUUAGUUCAAGUCAAACAGGUCUAAGUCUAUCGUUCUACCACUCGAGUUAGCCUAAAACCACUGCUUUCAAAAAAUGGUCUGCUCAGUCCUCCGCAUCUACAUAAAGACCCUUUAGCCUAAGUGGAUGUUCAUCAUACCACAUUCAAACCCAUCACUCCAGUCCCUUUUUUUUAAAUACAAAACCUCAAAAGAUACCCCUACUGUAUCUUAUAAGGGCCUCUACGCAGCUAGAUCACAAUAAACCAAAAAACAUAGAAACAAUCAAGUUGUUGAGUUCAAGAACUUGAGCAUCACCCAACUAGCUAUGCAACAUGAGCAAGUUGGUCAAACAUCACAUGCAAAAAAAAAAAAAAAAGUUAUAAUCGUAGAAGAUGAUAAUCACUAAAUAUAAGCCAAUUCAGAAUAAAAGUGUUGAUGUCUUACCUGGUCAAUGAAUUUUUUCUGAAGUUGUUGAGCAAGAAGUACAGCAUCCAGCUACAACAUAGAGUUUGCACUUUAAGACAGCAGCAUUCAAGCAUGGGAUUAGAUUAACAAAAGAAUCUCAAGAUAAUCUUACUUGCUCCGUUCUAUUAGUCUUGCCUUUAACAAAAUCCAACUCUAGUGUGAGUAAUGCCAGCUUAAAGUUAUCCGGAGGAACAAAUCUGAAAGGACAUUCAACAAUAAAGGUGAAAAAAUUGAUAACACAACUCAUUAAGCCAUAUCUAUGCAAUUGCUAGCUAAUGUGAAGGAUGCAUACCUGCUAACUGAGAUUUGAUCACCGGAUGAAACUCUUGUAUGACGACGCUGUAUGGCAUUCAAAGCAAUAUGAUCGCUAGGAAUGUUCUGGUGAGCAGUAGUUCUUUAUUAAGGUUGACGUCACACAACAAAUAAUCAUGUGUAAUUGAAUCGGAUCAAUCUAUGUCCGUAAAACAGCACAAGAAGCAAUAAGUUGGUCCAGCAUCAUGAACAUAAGCAGGUGCUUAACACCAUCAUACCUUAUUCAGUUCCACAAUUUAGAUAUUGCAAAUCUUGGAUCAAAUCAACAUUCCAAAAUCAAGAAACCAAAAUCUUGACAGUUGAAGUUUGAACAACUGCAUUGUCGAUUCUUCUUGAUGCGGAGUCACAAGAAUCGUGAGAGAAAGUUGCUAAUCCGGCGAUCAAAUCAACAUCCUAAAACCAAGAAACGAUGUUCUUGAACAUUAAAGAACAAACAAACCCGAUAAUCAUGGAUACUCGAUCUUUCUUGACGAGGAAUCAAAAGAAUCAUGGAUAAAAGAUGCAAACCCGAUAGUUAUAUCUAAUUCUAUAACCAAGAAACCAAUAUCUCGAAAAUUAAGGUACCAACAGCUGCAUUCUCGAUCCUUGUCGAUGAUAAGUCAAAAGAUCUCACUACUAUCUCAAACAAAACAACUCAAAAGACGUCCACGCAAUUGGAUGGACAAAAUCAAGGAUAUCGUAGGGUGAGGACGACGGAAUCUCCAACGAAUAUGAGGACGUGCUUGGAUCCGGGGGUGGCGAACUUGUUCAUGUCCGCGGGGGAGCAGUAGGCGAAGUUGGUCAGGGCAAGGUCCUGGGUCGGCGUGUUCACCACAGUCAUGGAGUCGGCCGCCGACGAGGCGCCGAAUCCGAACCUACCCGCCAUGGCUGAUCGCAGCGGAGCAAGUAUCAGGCGAGUUAGGGUUCCUGACAGGAAUAGCGCAAGAGAGAGGGAGGAAAAGACCUCGGAGGCGAUCAAACGAGGGAAAUGGAAAACGAGGGAGGAGAGAAAAUAGAGGAGACCAUUACUUCGUUCAGAAGAAAUGGUGGUCUGCGCCGUUAUGAUUCGUGCAAGACUCUAUAUUUAUAUACGUACUCUUGGUCUAUAAGAUUCGUGCAAGACGUGAUGAACUCUUGGCACUGGAGAGUCACUAUGGGCCAAAGCGGAGCUUAUCACCCACCACACGCUCUUUAGAUCCAUAUCGCCAUGGGAGGGCGGCCCAUAUUACAGGAACGCUUGGAGCUCGCAAUGAGCUGUACUGCUCCUCGUUAAUGAUCCAAACCCACGCGAGAAGGUUCCACGCACCGCGCCUGCCGCCCUCCACGUGGAUGCCUCGAUGCGUCACAUGGCCCCAUUCGGUUCCUAACGCCAAGGAGCCAUGCCAUGACUGACUGCUACAUGCUCCUAACAGCCUCUCGCCACCGUCCUGGAGAACCCAAGACGGCUGAUCUGAUCAGAGUUUGGAGGAUGCAAAGAACACGUACGGCAAGUGAGGUUUGAUAGUUUGCCAUAGGGACAAGGAGAAUCACCGAGGUACAGCGGGCACGAAACAAGCGGUCUGCUAAAUAUUGUCGGGUUGCGGAUUUAAGCCUCUGAUCGGAUGCAUUUGCGCGGGUGAUUUGUGCGGUUGGCAGUGUGUGCAAACCCGUGAUGUUGAGAGCUUCCCCCCAUCUGGCAGCUACGGGCCGUUAGGACAUCACUCCGAGAUGAAUCCACUGCUUCCCUGGCAAAUGCAGCACGCACCCAUAUUUCCUCCAAUUACUGAUGGAUGAUCAAAAUUAUGAUUUAUUCACCUAACGCUCGGGUCGUAUCGGUAUGGUUAGGUCCCUUCACAUCAGAACUUGUCAUUAUCCACAUGGCAUAGAAUGUAAAAGACAGAUGCAGUAGUUCGAGCUUUGAUCAAAACAGCAGCAAGCUCCAAAUGAUUAGUGCGAGGUCUUGAUCAUCAGGUUUGGGAAUUGCAGAGAACAGCGCAAGCAUCGGCGGGAUGUACUGUGAGAGUGGCGCUGGUGCACAUCGCCAUGUUCUAGGCCAGCGUCGAUUUAUUGCUCCGCUGGAUGAGGUCUCCGACUUUAGAUCGUUGCCGACGUGUUGUCUGCCAUAAUGCGGGCUGCGAUGUUGCCAUCACGAUGGAUAGACACACGUCAUAAAUGUGGCUCGUUUGGGUUGAUGGAUCGACGUGGUUACGUCGAUCAACCAUGCCAUGUUUAAUGCGACUCUGGCAUGGACAAAAGCUUCGCACCUCUCCAUACAUCCUCAUGAAAGCUUACCCACCGUAGAUUUCUCUUAUCACGUGUUGCAACAUAAAAAAAAGCUGUUACUUUUUCGAUAUUGCUAUUUAUGUCGAAAGGAAUGAGUCGCCCCAAAACUGUUAGGUACGAUGGAACGUCUCACUGGUCUAACACAGCGGGCCACAGGGACCCACGAUAAAAGAACGCGUGUGAGAGGGCAGACGUCGUCCGGCGACCUUUUUCCGGGGUGAUUCAGUCCGUCCACUUACGUUACAGAUGGGGGGGGGGGGGAGGAAGUGAGAGGUGAAAACGGCAGAGAAGUGGAAGCGGCGGUGCACGUCCCACAUUGGGUGGCUUGCGUGGUCACCCUUCAAAUGCUCGGGCGGACACCAUGCAUGCACCUCUCGCUGCGUCAUCUGCCCGUAGCUUCGGCCCACCUCCCUAUCUCGACACCCUCCUGGCUCCUUCCUCCCCCUCCCUCUACUAAAGACCUUCCCACCCCCUCUCUUCCUCCUCAUUGCCUCUCUCUCUCUCUCUCUGUGCGUGCCCAAGCACUGGAAUCAUGAUGACGCCCAUGUAAUGUAGUGACAUGGAGUCAUUGUGCUUUGCGACCAUCGUGUAGUUACUUACCACUUCUCCUCUUUGCGCCUUCGCUCUCGGCAUCAUUCACAGAGACGACGGUCCAGCAGAGUUUAGGGUAUCUUCCCAUCCGCCGACCCCUUGCGGACUCCGAGACGUUAGCCUUACCUUCCAAAGCGGUUUGAUGAGUCCUAUGGCCGACCAAAUCAAAUGGGCAUCCUCCGAGUCCGAAACCAGCGCGACAUCCUCCUCCUCCUCCUCCUCCUCGGGUUCGUCGUCGUCGAGGAGGAGCUCGGGCGGGGCCGCCACGGAGCAGCGGAAGCGGGAGCGGGAUAGCAGGCGGCACCCGGUAUACCGCGGGGUGCGGAUGCGGGCGUGGGGGAAGUGGGUGUCCGAGAUCCGGGAGCCCCGCAAGAAGUCGCGCAUUUGGCUCGGCACCUUCGCCACCCCCGAGAUGGCCGCCCGCGCCCACGACGCCGCCGCCCUCUGCGUCAAGGGCCCCUCUGCCGCCGCCGCCAUCCUCAACUUCCCGAACCUCGCCGGCACGCUGCCCCGCCCCGCCUCCCUCUCCCCGCGCGACGUGCGGGAGGCCGCCGCACGGGCGGCCGCCAUGGAUCCAGCAAGCCCAGGAAGCGCCGCCUCCUCCCCGUCGCCGUCGUCCUCACCGGAGGAGAAGCUUGCCGCGGCGCCGACGGAUGAGCUGGGCGAGAUAGUGGAGCUCCCGCGGCUCGGAGAGGAACUGUUCGACUCUGCUGCGCUAGAGGGCGACUUCAUCUUCCAUGACACAGAGGACCUAUGGACCUACCCGCAGCCAUGGGCGGAGAGCAAAGGAGACCACGAGUUCUUCCCUGAUCCAAUAUGGUCGCAGGAAGUCAACGCAUCCACUGGCUUGGAAGCUCCCUUCUGGGACUUUUCAUGAACUCGAAACACACACACACACAUGGUUCCUUCUCCUCCACCUCUCUCCAGUCACUGUACAUUCGUUGGUGAGCCUGCAAACAACUCUGCAAGAUGAGGAAGCGAUUCUAUUGGAGGAGACAGCGAUCAACGGUCUCCUGUUGUCAUUCUACGAAUAAUUGUAGACGCACUGCAAUGGCUGAACGUAAAAUGCAUACAAGCCAUCUUCUCCUUGCAUUCAAUUAAAACCAUGUACUUCAUCGGUUGAUCUUUCCUGUACAUCAUUAGCAUUCACAAUGCAGUAUGAUGUCUUCCUGUGUGCAUAUAAAAGUUUCUGCUCCAAUGGGUGCCAUUAUUUCUCAUAUUUACUGCUGCUUUCCUUCAAUUUUGGCUUGUUUGCCAAUUCUCAGAGCUUGAGGUCUUUAUGUACACACACACACACACACACACACACACACACACACACACACACACACACACACACAUAUAUAUAUAUAUAUAUAUAUAUAAUAACCUAAGUCGCAAGAAUUGCUAUCUUAUGUUACAUUCCCUUCACAAAUUCACAUAAACUUAUGUUUGGAUGAUUGAAGUGUUACUCAGGGAUUGGCAUCGAGGGACAUCAGGUUCAUGCUCCUUCUCCCUGCAUUUAAUGGCUACCAAAUUUGUAGUGCUCAUCAUCUGCAUGAGAUAACAAGCAUGAAACUGCAUUCCAAAAGCAAUCGACAGGUGGAAUAAGGUCGCAGUGGGGAAACAAUGUGGUUAGGGUCUCAAUUGAAUAAUUGUCUCCAUAAAGUCUGCUGUCUAAAUUGUACGCUAAAUGAUGCACAACGUGACAAAAACAAAUCUCUAUUGAAUUUAAUAUGCACCAAUUCGAACUACUUUUUUUGUUUGGCAUCAAAUGCUGUGAAGUAAUUCCUUGAAAUAACGAGAAAAUUAUAGUCGAUCCUAAACCAUUGGGAUAUUACAACUUUUUCUAUUGAUGCCACAAAGAAUUUUGUGUUCAUCAUCAGUAACCUAACUUCCCUCUCACUGAUUUAUAGAUGAGAACAAUUAUCAAGUAAUUGGCUGUUUAUAUUUAUUAGAGAAACCUUUAAAGUUAUUGGCUAUUAUUUAUAGUCAUGCACAAAUUAUCAAGUUAAUGGACAAGUGUUAAAGCUAAGUCCAACUUCUUUUUAUUUUUCCAAAAAUAUAUAAAACUCGGAGCACAGAAUAAAUCAUAGUUCUUGAGAUCAAAUCUGUCUCCAGAUAAUAUAAUUUUCAGAAGGUCUAGUCUGAUUAAUUAACCAAUGAGCAUUACCAUUAUCCUACGACAUGCAUGAAUAAAUUUACAAUCGAUGAACAUAAUAAAAAUUGACUUGUACACCAAUUUACAUAACUAAUUUCUAUUCGAGAAAAGAAGAAAACAAAGCAGCAAUAGAUUCCUUAGCCUACCAUCUUUCCUUGGCACCUAUACGUUCUCCGAAAAAAAGAAAUAUACAGCUGCAAUCCAAUGCACAAAGCAAAGACAAACCAAUUUGAUAAGGUGAAGAUAAAAGGCUUUACUCAAUCUUCUUACUACUUCUUUUUGGUUCUUCUCUUGGGGAAUGUAGGGGUUGUGUUAUAUGGUCCACAUGGAUUCAAAAGACAAAUAUAGCUAGGAACUCUAAAUUUGAAGCCUCAUUUAACACGCAUAUUAAUGUGGCAAACUUAGGUGCCAUCUUUUAAUUGAUGAUGGGUGCCAAAUGAAAAUACAUAUUACCAAUUAUAUCUACCAAUUGCAUAUAUAUAUAUAUAUAUAUAUAUAUUCAGCAGUGACUUACCAUAUCAAUUAUUGCUAAAAAAAGGGGAGGUUUAGAGAAGUUUGGAGUGGGUUACAGCAUGACGCUGGCAAAGCACGCUUUUUGCAGCUGGAUGGCAUCCGCAACAUGCUUUGUCUGGUCAAGACAAUGACGUUGACUACAGUUCAGAUUUCAAAAUGUUCCCUCCGCCCAAUGAUUGCCGACUAUGAUAUGAUAUUGUUCCCUUCUUCAUCAAAAUUGAUCAAACUCAAUCCUAUCGACCAACUGGAUCAGAUCGACAUUAUCGUCCAAUGUAAUAUUAACAUUACCUAUCCCAAAUCAGCAAUCAUACUCGUAGAUGAAUAGCAUAAAGUCCUGCGCACCAGGUGCCUACCACAGCAGAUGUGGUUCGCCAAACAUACCUCGUAGACCAAUUUAUACAAACAGGUGGAGGGCAGUUGGAAAGCCCAGAGUUGGACUGUCCCACUGCUCCCCGUAGCGGCACAGUAGAAAGGAAAGGACCAUAAAGAUGGGUGUCGACGACGGUGCAUCGGCUUUUUGUGACUCGGGCUGUAUCGCAUCUUCCACGGAUCUGCUAAGUUCCAAAAGCCUCCGUCCGUAGUCCGUGCUCCUUCCGUCGUCCUUUGGUCUUUUGCACCGAGACAUAGCGCCCACUGUAACCCCACUGGCUCAUCGGAGCCCGUAGAGACGCUGCGAUGUUAGGCAGUGGCGUAAGCAAGCAAGGGAAGACUGCUGCGGCCUCGCCGAUCGACCCAACUUUGUGUGCCUGCCACAUGGAAGAGAGCUUCAUGGCAUGUGCUUAACCUGCAGCCAACUUAUGUUGCUCUUCUGUUGCUCAAGUCACAUUUCGGUGCAAUAGCCAGCCACGCACAGACAGAAACGAUUCAGCAGUGGUUGUCUUUGUCGAUCCAUUCUCUCGUUCAAGUUUAACUACGAUCUGCAUGCUGCAAAUGGCACAUCAUGCAAUCUUCUCUCUCUCUCUCUCACUUAUAAUUAGUAGACGUGAUCCAUUUAAUGAUAUUAGAUUUUGGAUCCGAUGCAUCCAAAUAUCGUCGUCUUGUUUUCCUCCAUGGCUACACGACAUGACACCAUGCAGAAAGGCCAAAACUCAACAGAUCUGUAGCUUCUCAUCUGCAACAAAAGACAAGGAAGCCAACACCAGCAGUCGGAAGGAAGAGCUGUUAUCUAAGAUGCUUUGAUGCUUGAUGACCCGAGCGAAUCGACACAUCCAGACAUGAAAUCCUCGCAAGAAGACAAGAUGAAGCGUCCCCAUUGUCGUAUUUUUUAUGAUCUCAAAGCUCAUAGAAUAAUGAACUGAUGAUGCACGUACAGAGCUUCACCGAACUCCGAUCACCAAGAAGACAAAGGACGUCAAUUGGUGCAAAAUAAUAAUAAUAAUAAUAAUAAUAAUAAUAAUAAUAAUAAUAAUAAUAAUAAUAAUAAUAAUAAUAAAAGAGUCCGGAAGUCCUUUUGAAACGACGGAAUGCGAUAUAUACCUUACAACCCAUGCCAACAACAAAAUACCAGACGAAAAAUCUCAUGUUAGAGUGCAGGUUGCUGUCCUCGAUCGGCCAUAUCUCCCAAGAAUCUAAUCACAGUGAGGGAACUGGGAAGAAGAAUAGGAUUCUCAUUACAGGUUACGUGGAACCUGACAAAACUCCUCCUCGUUGCACAAGUAACUCCGUAUCAUUGCUCAUCUCACAGGAUUUAGAAUAGCUAUAAAACACACAGGUGACUGUUGAGCACUGCGCCAUGGUACCGCGAGAACACUAUUUUAAUCGACCGCAGAAGGCCGGGAGAGUCACUUGAAAUCACAUCACAGACGGUAUCAUAAUAAGAUUUGACAGAGUUAGUAGUAGAAAACACAAUGUUGUGUCUCUCACAUACACAAUCUUUCUCCCAGCAAUAGACUGUCAUCACACACAGCAAUUCUUAGUUUUCCCUACCUAUCUUUUUCAAUAUUUUAUAAUUAGACUUGUAUAUAGAACGAAGACUCGGCAAAAAGGUGGUGGUUUGGUCAGUGUCAGCUCGGUAGGCAUGGUGGGUGCGACGUACGACGGCCUGUUAUCCUUCUACCAUCAAGAGCGGGAGGUUGUCGAUGCUCUGUGAAGCCAGCCUGACGCGGUGCCCUCCGCUUUAGGAUCCUAUGAGACUUAGGCCUUCGCCAAGAUCACAUAGAACAUCUGCCUGACUUAGAAUGGGCGAGCCGAGUAAUGUGCGGCCGCACCCAACCUACUCGAGCACAACAUGCCAUUCCACAACCGAUCGCCCCCGCUCGGGUUACAAGCCAACGCUAACGGGCUCGGCGAUCGAGGCGCUUUCACAGCAUCAUAUCAGGCCAAACAAUUUGUCAAAACAAGUGAUGUGGGACCAAGAAUGUUGUAACUGUUAGUGUAAACAACUUUAUGUCGUGUCCUCGAGCCGACGCGGUUUGGUUGGGGGUCCGAAUGACGAGGAUCUUGCGCGGCGUCCCUCGAGAUCUCCCAGUGGCCGAUUACGGUGGUCCGGUCGGGACGUCGCGUCGGGAGGAAAGCUUUGCCGUAGCGCCGGGAAGAGGCGACCCCGUUCUUGCACCUGCACACAGGUCGGGUCGGAAGCUCGGCCCGACCCCUCCGACGAUCAAGUUAGUGGAUAUGGAGGGGGUUUUAGGUGAAUAAGUGCUCUCUUUUUCUCCUCCCUUUUCGUUUAGAACUCGGUGGUAUUUAUAGGUGAGUUUAGUGUUACCUGAUGUGUCUGCCCGCAGGAGCAGAAUCGUACCUCUAAUGGCGUCUGACAUUGCCGUUGGCAUUGCGUGGAGAACCGAACUGCCGCAGGGCAUGGGUGAGCCUCGAUCGCCGUUCUCCUCUGCCUUGGCCAAGCAUGUUGGGUCAGACAACGAUGAAGUCGUUGUCUGGGAGCGGGUGACGUCAGCGCACAUCGCGUCAGCAUUACUGCCCUAUUUGGGGUAGAGUGUCGUCCAGACAUGGCUGACGUCGUGACGCGUCAUGUCGCCAUUAUUAUCCUCAUCAGUAACCACUGAUGCUUCUCCUUAGCGCGCACCAAAUGCUUUGGAUGCUGCUGUAACUAACUGUGCGCCUAGUACGUUUUGGAAGACACGCGAAUUGAACUCCACUGGAUUGUACUCCGCCCUGAAUGAUACAAACCCAAAUGCUAGAGAUUUUAAUCUCUGAAAUUAUUAGCAUCGAGUUGAAAUUUUGUCAUAUAUAUACAAGUUGAAAUUUCUAUCAGAAUUGAGUAUCGAUCGAAGGCCUCUCAUAUAUGUUGCUUUUUUAAUUUUAUUUUUUCCUUUUACAAUUCUUUCUUAUAUAGUUCAUGCUAGUUGAAUAUUAAGAAAACAACAGAAACAAUAAUAAUAAUUAUUAUUAACUAUCUAUGUAUAUUAGAUAGUUGAAAAGAUACACUAAAAUCUCAUAUUCAAGAGAUAUGAACUUGAAUAACCAAACGGUAUAUGAGAAUACAUAAUAUUAAGAAGAUUACCUUAAGAGAUCUAUACAAAAUCUAAAAAACAAACAUAAAUAGUGCAAAUCAAUGAGUGCAUAAAGACGAUGUUUACAACUCUCAAAUUUAUUAUCAAUGAAGUAAAAUUGUAUUAUAAGCAUCAUAAAAAAAAAUCAUAGAGGGCAUGUGUCCCUAGUUUAUUUAAGGGUGAGGGAUAGGAUGAUAGCUUAAACUUGUAUAAAGAAAAAAAACUAAAAACAUCUUAUGAUAUAAUAAAAACUAAAAUCACCAUAGGUUUAGAUGAUUAUACCAUUAAAACAUAUAUGAAUAUUUGGGAUCAUUCCACUUACCAAAAAAGGUGGUGGUUUGAUAGGCGUUAACCCUGUGGGUACGGUGAGUGCGGCGUACACCGGCCUGUUAUCCCUCCACCGUCAAGAGCGGGAGGUGGUCGCUGCUCUGUGAAGCCAGCCUGACGCGGUGUCCUCCGCUUUAGGAUCCUAAGAAGCUCGAGCCUUCGCCCGGGCCGCACGGCUCAGCUGCCUGACUUGGAACGGACAAGCCGAGUAUAGUACGGUCGCACCCAACCCAGUCGAGUUAAACACACCAUCCCACCGCCUCAAGGCUCCCGCUCGGGUUACAAGCCCACGCUACCGGGCUCGGCGAUCGAGGCGCUUUCGCAGCAGAAUAUAACGUCUUUGAUUCUUUUAGAAUUGGCGAUGUGGGACUAAGAAUUGUGCCAACCCGCCACCGAUUCAUCCACCAGCAAAAUGCUUUGGAGGAUAACACAAACUGCAAGUGCCCCAAGAGAAUUGGAUUGCGCACGAACAGCUUCUUUCUACUCCAACGCCCCGAAUGAUGCAUUCAUGGCCAAACUGUGUUGUUCAUGGAUGCAGAUCGAAAAGCGCUAAGUAAUCCCCAAAGGUAAGAAUACGUUUGAUUGUCUUACGAUACAACCUUACCCUAUUAGAAAUUUAAUCUCAUAAUCUAAUAAUACUAAAAGAACAAAAAAGAGAAUCCAAUUACAGAGAAAAGGAAUGAUAAAAAAGUGGGGUCUGAUCGAUGUUAGCUUGCCGAGCAUGGUAAGGUGUGGCUUCGACCAGUCUGCCAUCCCUUCCACUGUCGAGAGCGGGAGGUACUCGUUUCUUUGUUAGGAUGCGUAUGACUCGAGUCUUCGCCUGGAGUCACAUUGCUCAAUUUCUUGACUCAAAAUGGGCAAGUCGGGGUUGGGUGGGUCAAACCUAACCCAAUCAAGCACAACACAUCAUUCCACCUCCUUCAUGCCCUCACUCAUGUGACAAGCCUGUGCUACGAGGCUCGACAAUUACAAGUAUUUCACAGAGUAAUAUAAAGGCAUAAAAAUAGGUAAAAACUAGCAAUGUGGGACGAAGAAUAGUGCGACCACUUUCCCCUCCUCCCUUUGCAGAGAGAUUCACGAACCAAAUGCUUUCGAGAGGGAACAUAGGCUUGGAUGGUGUAUUUGUCCACCUGUUUUUAUUUUGGAGAAAGAAUUCAACUGCAUUGUAAACGUAAAACUCCUUCCUACUCCCCUCCUCAAUGAUAUAUAAAUAUUUAGAAAAAAACUUUAGUUUUCAAAAAUUCUCCAUCUCAACUUUUAAAAAUAUAAACAAAGUACCUAUUUCGUGCAUUAAAACAUCGUUUUAUCUCUACUUUUGUCGGAUCCAUUAUUACCUCAACCCUAUAUCAAUGCUCUAACUCUUUUCCCCUUUGCUAAGAACAACAAUAGAGUAGGGGGUCACGAAUCCUUGGUACUUUGUGUCUUCACACACGAGUUGACUUACGCACUUAGCCAUGCUUUUAUCUUGAACAGUCAUCCAUUACCCACAGCAUUGUUGAUCGCCUUCAUGAGUGGGCCCAGCCAAACUCUUUCCCCGCCUAUGAUCGAUGACGAGGGGUGCUUAUGGGCGAUUGCGAGGGUACACAGUAUGCCUCCCCUCCUUCCUCACCCACGAACAAUGAUGAGUGAAGGCAUAGGGGUCGUGGCCCUUGGUUCUUCAUUUGCAAUCGAUAACGAUAGAGUUCAAAUAUAUAUUGUAUAGCUUAAUAUUUUCAAAGUUACGAUCGCCUAAUAUUUUUUAAGAAUAUACAUAUUUAGAAUUUUUUUAAAUCUAAGAUCUAUAUAAUAUUUAUUUAUUUUUAAUUAGUUUAGUCCUUCUAUUCAAAGAUACGAACUUGAAUAAUCGAUGAUAAAAUAAGACAUAAUAUCAUGAAAAAUAAAAAAAUAUUUUUUUAGAAAAAUUAGAAAACCAUAUUAAUUAGUAAAAGCUGAAAAAAAAUAUUAGCAUCACCAUGGGCUAAGGAGUUACAAAUCCUAUGAAAAAUCAAUUUAAACUAAGCUAUGUUGAAAUUGCAUAGUUGAUCCUUUCUAAUCCCACGUCAUUGGGUUUUAGAGGAUAAUGUGAUGGGACAUACCAUGGUACUUCAGCAAAGCGGAGCUUUCUUUCUAUCAUUUAAUAGUCCUAUGCGUUGUAUCUUACUAUUAUUUUUAAUGCGAAAAAGUGGUGGUUUGGUCAGUGUAAGCCCGAUGGGUAUGGUGGGGGCGGCGUGCAUCGGCCUGUUAUGCUUCCACCGUCAAGAGAGGGAGGUUAUCGCUGCUCUGUGAAGCCAGCCUGACGCGGUGUCCUCCGCUUUAGAAUCGCAUGUGACUCAGGCCUACGCCAGGACCGCACUGCGAAGCUGCCUGACUUGGAACGGGCAAGCCAAGUCUGGAAAUCACCGGACCCAACCCAAUAGAGCUGAACACAACAUCCCACCACAUCCUUGCCCCCACUCGGGUUACAAGCCUGCGUUACUGGGCUCGGCGAUCGAGGGCCUUCCGCAGCCUCAUAUAACUUUUUGCGAGACUCUAAAUAUUGGCGAUGUGGGACUAAGAGCACUUCCUCCGCUCCCUCCUUUCCCUUUCCGAAAAUUCAUGCACCGCGUGCUUUCUGAGAGAACCCGAAUUGCACCCAAACUUUCGAUCAUGGUUCUUACCACCUUUUCAUCACCUAAAACUAUUUCAUCGGCAAAGAGGCCAUUUGAAUAAGGUCACUAUUCAAAAGCUUAAGAAUAAGGUUACUAUUUAAAUGCUCGAGUUUUUAGAAAAUAAUAAAGUAGAAGAUAUCAAUAGAAUUGUGUUAAUCAUCACCUCUUUACUCUAACGUUUAUCAUCUUUAUAAAAAUUAUCAAAAGAUAAAAGGUGCUUCAUCUCCUUCUCUUUGAAGUUUAUUUUUAGGUUGCCCUUCGUCCUUGUACAUUUUUCAAUGAUAAAUCAUAUAUAAGAUUUAUGACCCAAUGAGCUAUCUCCUUUCAAGAUGAGUCUAUCAAUAUUAAUAUCAAUUUGUCUCUCUGUGACUCCUGAGGUCGAGGUAAGUGUUCUUGGUGCUUAAGGAUGAAUCGCGCAAGAUAAAUCUGAUGUAUGAAUUCUUCAAUAUCCUUUUUCAAGUCUCGAUAUUCAUUUGUGUCAUGGACGUAAUUCAGAUAGAACCGAUAAUAUUUAGAUCCGUCUUUUUUUGCCAAUGAAGUAUUCAUCGAGUGAGAGUCUUUUAAGAGUCUCUUUCCUUUUAUCGGUAGAAAAAAACUUUAAUUCUAAGCAUAUUCAAGGGGGUUAGCUCAGACCUUGGGCGAGGUAACUCAAGUCGUUCGUUCUUCCUCUAUUGUGAUGACCUCGGGGUCGGGGUGGACUAUAGUUGCUCUUACUUCGACCUCUUGUGCGGCUGACUCUUUACGCUUACCAGAUAUUAUUAUCCUGAUGGUAAUAUAUUGAUUGACUCUUUGAAGUGCCUGUAGUAUUGUCGCCGAUGACCUCUCCACUAACGACGAGAAGAGAUGAGAGGACUUGAGACUCAUCAUGAAGGUUUGUAUCAAGAGUGACGAACGGAUAUACCACGCUUUGGAUUUUAUUAAUGAAACUAAGUGAUGAAGUUUGUAAGAAUUUCCUUCAAUUGCAUGAAUACGAGAAGCAUUGACAUUGCUAGCCUCGGGUGCACAUUCCCGAUGAAGUGAAAUUCAAACUUCCUCGUGAACUAGGUAAUGAAACUGAUGGAGAGUGGCUUCAGAUAUAAGUAUCAUUCUCGUGUUAGGUCUCUUAAUAUAGUCGAGAAUGUGUGACACAUCAAGGCAUCCGAAGUGUCAUACAAUAAUAUUUAGGCAUGGAAAGUUAUAAUGUGCUCCAUUGGGUUAGCAUUGCCAUCGAAUGCCUCCAACGACGGUGGUGGAAGAUUGUUAGAAUCGAUUCUUCCUAAAUUUUCUAGAUAAAUGAUGACCGACUCGAGGUGGAGUUAACCAAUGCUUCCCUUUUGGAUUAUUAAAAUUUUUAUCAUAUCUCCUUCAAACGAUGAUCCAUCUAUCAUAGUUGGAUUUGCAAGGAAUCCUUCAUCAAAUUCGUCGAUCUAGUCUCUGAUUUAAGCAUGAUAGAAUCGUGAUAUGGAAUGCUAAAUUUCAUGAUUAUGGAGCGAAGUGCUCUCUCGGCCAUGAUUCGAUAGGUUUUGGGUACUUUUAGGAUGUAACACUAUGUUGGAUGGGGGAAAGUUGAUGGGUGCUAGUGGUGGGUGAGCCAGUGACAACAACUGAGUUAGUGGCGUUGUCUAUUAAGCUAACUAGGGUAAAUGUUAGAGAUUUUAAUAUAUAAAAGAAGUUUUAUAUUUUAAUAUAUAGAAUAUGCAUACUUGCAAGGCAUCUUAUGUUUGUCAAUUGUUGUCACCCCUUUUUUCUUAUUUAAGAUCCCUUCUGAUUUUUUUAAUCAUAAUUAUAUUUUUACUGUUUUUUAAUAUUUAAUUCCUUCCAUCGAAAGAAAUGAACUUGAAUAACGAGAUGAUAUAAUAAAAGACACAAUAUCAACAAAAAUUUCUCAAGACCUACAUAAAGAAAAAACAAUUCUUUGUAAAAAGAGAAAAAGCUAUAUUAAUUAGCAAAAACUAAAAAAAAACGAAGAGCCGUUAGUAGCCUCCGAGGAAGAACAAAAAGUGGGUCAGCCUAUAAAAGUUGGCGUUGCCAUGGGGCUAAGGAGUUACAAAACCUAUCAACAACCAAUCCAAACAAACCAUGCAAAUCAACAACUAUACAAAGAUGAAUGAUGAUCUUAUUAAAUAUUAAACUUAAUAUUUAUGAAGCAAAAUGAAUGUGCUUGUCACAAUAAAAUCAUAAGAGUUCACGAGUGCUUAAGUUUUUUUUACGGCUAGAAUAAUGGAAUAGAUAAAACUUUGGUCGAGCUUACGAACAUAAAAAACGAAAAAAAAAUUAAAAUUUUGGUUAUGUAAAAGCUCAAUAAGAGUUCAAAAUUGGUUAAACUAAUCAGUGUUGCCCAUUUGUGACUGACAUCCACACGAGAUAGCCGAUUAGUUAUUUUUUAUUACUGGAAUAACGUGCAUCUCGACACUGCACAUUGACAAAGCCGAGCGCAUACCUUCCAUUGUCAAAAUCAACUAUGCUAAUGAUCAUGUUAGUGCGAUGGGUUCACUCUGUCAUUUGCCUACGCAUACAAUAUAUACUUUAGAAAACACAGAUAUAUUGAAAUUGCAUAGUUCGUCGUGAUCCUUUCUAAUCCCACACCAUGGGCCUUUAGCGGAUGAUGAGAUGGGACAUACUUCGGUAUCUCAGUAAAGUCAGAGCUCAUUCCUUAAAGGUUUUAUUAUAUUAAUUAUUGAGAGAUUAUAGAUUUUCUUUUAUUUUUUUUUGUUUUUAAUACAUCGCUCGUAGUAGUCUUAUGAAAGAUAAAAAGAGAAGAGAAUACGACUACAGUAGUAGCGACAACUAUAGCUUCAUCGCUACCACUAUGGUGAUUGUUGUAGCUUGUUGUGAUUGUAGCAUUAUCGUUGCUUAGGGCAACUACAACAAUGUCGUUGCGGCAUUUGUUGGCCAUGGCUGUUGAUAAGUCGCAUGCGAAGAGCUAUGCAACCACGAGCGAUGCAGGCGACGAAUGACCAGUGCACCAUCAACAAGACCUGCAAGUGUGGGCGUAGUGGGAUGCGACGACGACAACAACAUGAGAAUUUGAUUUUUUUUAAAGCACAUUUUUGUACCUCGAAUGCAUCUUGAUAUAAGAAAAUCAUAUCUCCUAAGGGCUCUUCACUGAUUUAAUCACCCGAGGAGAAGCACAAGUAAAAUUCUCCUACAUCAUUAGAAUCCAUGAAGUGAUAUAUAACACGAAUUACGAUCAGACCUAAACAAAAGAGGAAUCUCUCGAGCGACAUAACAAAAAUGAAUCCCAUAUUUGCUCUUUACAAUCAAUCUUUUGGCAUUCACUAAAAGUUAGACUAAUUUAGUUGAUAAAAAUCUUCGUUGUAUUUUUUAAAUAUUAUUAUAAAAAUGAAUCCCAUAUUUGCUCUUUACAAUCAAUCUUUUGGCAUUCACUAAAAGUUAGACUAAUUUAGUUGAUAAAAAUUUUCGUUGUAUUUUCUAAAUAUUAUUAUCAGUGUUGUCCCUCUUGAGAUAAAAAAAAGAAAUCGGUGUGCAAAAAGUGGUGGUCUGGUCAGUGUUAGCCCGAUAGGUACGGCGGGUGUGGCGUGCACCGGCCUGUUAUCCUUCCACCGUCAAGAGCGGGAGGUUAUCGCUGCUCUGUGAAACCAGCCUGACGCGGUGUCCUCCGCUUUAGGAUCCCAGAUAGCUCGGGCCUUCGUUCGAGCCACAUAGCUCAGCUGCCUGACUUGGAACGGGCAAGCCAAGUCUAGCACGACCGCACCCAACCUAUUCGGGCUGAACACAACAUUCCACCACCUUAUUGCCCCCACUAGGGUUACAAGCCGGCGUUACCGGGCUCGGCGAUCGAGGCGCUUCCACAACUUCAUAUAGCCUGUCAGUGAAUCCUAAAAAUUGGCGAUGUGGGACUAAAAACGCUCCCUCCUUUUUCCUUUCCGAACAUUCGUGCACCGCAUGCUUUCCAGGAGAAACCCGAAUUGCAUCUAAAGUUUCGAUCAUGGUUCCCCACCACCUAAAACCAUUCCAUCCCCUUCGAACAGACCAACAGAAGAUGCCCUGCAGACCCCUCCAGAUUACCCGACUCCUAAUCUUGAAACCUCGAAACCCAAUGCUCUCCUGCAUCGGGGAUUCAACAUGUUUCGAGCUAAAUUUCUCCUACAUCAGCUGACCGCAAUGCUGUAACUUUGGUGAUGAUGAAGAGGUGUAAGCUGAUAAAUGCUAUAACAAUGCCCGAAUACGUUGUCGGCCUCGUUGCAGAAGAGGAUCGACUUUUAGAUUGUGAAUCUGUGUCUUUGAACAUAGAUGCGCUAGCAUGUAUAUAAACCAUUACUUCUUAAUUCGAUGACAUUAAUAAAUAUAAUUGAUACGUCAUAUUUUGGCCUCGAAGACAUAUCAGGUCAGAAUCCAUACUAAGGCACUGCUUGACACGUCACAUCUUGGGAACCACAAGACACGCCAAGUCAGAAUCCAUACUAAGGCACUGCUCGGCAUGUCACGCCUCAGGAACCCCGAGACGGCGCCGCCCCCAAGACACGCCAAGUCAGAAUCUGUACUAAGGCACUGCUCGGCACGUCUACCAUGCCAAACCUCGUACGACUGACCCACGUACAAUAAUAUAAAGACCUCUGGCCGGCAUCUGGCUAGGAGGGGAAAAAAGGUGGUAAAAUCAAUUGAUCACUCUACUGACUUGUUCGUCAGAGGGUUCUCGUCGGGAAUCACCCAACGAGGGCCAUUUUUGAAGGAAAAUGCAGCCACCUCACGAAGACGAGCUACCAACCACCCGAGAAUCCCCAUCCAGUGCACGAAGGAGAGCAGCCAAUCGGUCCAUAUCCUAAACAAUGCCAACCAGUACUCCUUCUCGAGGGCUUGACCACCUCACGAAGAUGAGCUGCCAACCACCUCAGAAAAAGAGAGACGUAGCUCGACAUACACGACGCUCGGAUCGGCACACCAAGGAACACUGAUCAACACCCCAUUGCAAGGGCCCGAUAGACCUCGAUAUCCAACUCAACCGAUAGAAGACUCCCGACAUCGACCCGUAGACCAGGCUGUGCUAACUCACAAGCCACAGCACAUUUGUUUACUAACAUUUUGACGCUAGAAGGAGGGCAUGUCGCAAGAGCAACAGAUAGGGGUCCUCCCCGAGGGAGAACCACCGACCGACCUCCCUUUUGUUAAACCAAAAAGUCAGGCCUUCCCCACCCCCGGAGACAGGAGGAUCCCGGCUUCGAUGCUAGAUCGCUACUGUCGUCUGUUCAACGACCCGGGAUUGUCACCCCCGAGGCUCACCAUAGGGCCCUCGGUCGUGACACCCGAGGCAUUCCUUAGCCUAACCAAGCAAGUACAGGCCAUGGCGGGCAUGAUGUAGACGCUCGCUCCAAUCAUUCCUCAGAUCGUGCGGCUAGCGACGCCCCCGACCGACCCGUCCCAACAGCGACCGAACAGGGAGCAGGUCGGGACUGGAGAAGCCCAAGAGCAAGCAACGGACUCGAGAGGUCCGCCCGAGUAGAGCAUACUCGCACCCUGCCGAAUCACACCGCUCCACUCCGAGCCCGACACCAUAUCGUCCGACUCGGUGGAUGACUCGUUCAGGAUCCAGUUGUCUCGGAUCAACCAACGCUUGGAUGAGUUCCAGCGCGAGUUCCAGAAAUCGCGAUGCAAGUCGAAUGAAGGCGGCUCGGGCGAAUCGCCUUUCACUCAGGAAAUACAUGACAAGCCUGUACCACUCGACUUUAGGUUGCCCACAUUAGAGAUGUACGACGGCGGCUCUGACCCCGCAGAGCAUGUCGUCAUGUUUCGGGCUCAGCUAUGGCACCUCCAAUGCAUUGAUGUGUCGGGAAUUCCCGACCACCUUCAGGGGCCAGCACGAGCGUGAUUCAACCGGCUGCGCCAGUCCUCAGUCUCAUCCUUCGACCAGCUCACAAGGGAGUUCGAGCAAAACUUCCUCACCAACGUGCAACCCAAGCCUUCUAUCGCUACACUGCUGGCGUUAUCUCAACACGAGGAUGAGUCGCUCUCUCAGUUCGUGGCACAUUUAGCCACCGAGAUCUAUGAAUUUUCGGACGCUCAUCUCUCUCUAAUAAUGCAGGUGUUUCUGAUGGGCUUGAAACCUUCAAGGUUCUUUUGGUCACUAAUCGAGAAGCCUCCAGUAACCAUCCCCGAGAUGCUCCAAUGCGUCAACCAGUACAUCGCCGCCAAAGCUCUGGUGGUGGGAAAGUGCAUGGACAGCAAGAGGCCAAGGGCGAAACAAUCCCGGGGAACGACUUCCGUAGCCCCAGUGCAACCCCGCUAGAGGCUUGACUGACAAGAGCUACUGCUCCUGAGGCCCCCGCCUCUCCCUCUGAGCAUGUUCCACCAGGACUAUGACCACGGCACGGAAGAUUGCUGUGACCUCCAGAAUCAAAUCGAGGACUUGAUCCGAAAAGGUUAUCUCAAGUGCUAUGUCAAGGAAACCCGAGAAGCAACUCCAUGUCCUAGGGGACCCUUCGAAAGACGCCUCAUCAUCCAAAAUAUCAUGUCGAAAAGCCACUCGCGACAAGAGGUCCACAAGCUCGCCAGAUCGGUUCCCGACCUGCGACUCGCCGACCCAUCUCUUGCCUGAGCCGCUCUAGAUCGGUUCCCGACCUGUGCCUUGCCGGCCCAGCUUUUGCCCAAGUUGCUCCAGAUCAGUUCUCGACCUGCAGCUCGCCAGCCCAGCUCUUGCCCGAGUUGCUCUAUAUCGAUUCCCGACCCGCGGCUCGCCGGCCGAGCAUUUGUCCGAGCCGCUCCAGAUUGGUUCCCGACCUAUGGCUCACCGGCCCAGCUCUCAUUCGAGUCGCCCCAAAUCGGUUCCCGACCUGCAGCUCGCCGGCCCAGCUCUUGCCCGAGCCGCUCCAGAUCGGUUCCCGUCCUGCGGCCCGUUGGCCCAGCUCUUACCCAAGUCGCUCAAGAUUAGUUCUCGACCUCAGGCUCGCCGGCCUAGCUCUUGCCUGAGCCGCUCUAGAUCGAUUCUCGACCUGCGGCUCGCCGGCCUAGCUCUUGCCCAAGCGGCUCCAGAUCGGUUCUCGACCUGUGCCUCGCGGGCUCAGCUUUUGCCCGAGUCACUCCAGAUCGGUUCCCGACCUACGGCUCGUCGGCCCAACUCUCACCCGAGUAGCUCCAGAUCGGUUCUCGACUUGUGGCUCGCCAGCCCAACUCUUGCCCGAGCCACUCCAGAUCGGUUUCCGACCUGCGGCUCGUCGGCCCAACUCUUGCCCGAGUUGCUCUAGAUCGAUUCCCGACUUGCGGCUCUCUAGCCCAGCUCUUGCCCGAGCCAUCCAGAUCGAUUCCUGACCUGCGGGUAGCCAGCCCAGCUCUUGCCCAAGCGCUCUAGAUAAGUUCCUGACCUGUGCCUCGCUGGCCCAGUUCCUGCCCGGGUUGUUCCAGUUUGCUCCUGACUUUCGAUUCGGAGUCGAGCUUACUCACUUGGUCCCCAGAUUCAAUUCGGAGCCGAGCUUACUCACUCGGUCCCCAUAUCCGAUUCGGAGCCAAGCUUACUCACUCGGUCCCUAGGUUCAAUUCGGAGCCGAGUUUACUCACUCGGUCCCUAUGUUCAAUUCGGGGAGCCGAGCUUACUCACUUGGUCCCCAGAUUCAAUUCGGAGCCGAGCUUACUCACUCGGUCCCCAUAUUCGAUUCAAAUUCGAGCUUACUCACUUAGUCCCUAGGUUCAAUUUGGAGCCGAGCUUAGUCACUCGGUCCCUAGAUCCGAUUUAGAGCCGAGCUUACUCACUCGGUCUCCAGAUUCGAUUCGGAGUCGAGCUUACUCACUCGGUCCCCAGAUCCGAUUCAGAGCCGAGCUUACUCACUCAGUCCCCAGGUUCAAUUCGGAGCAGAGCUUAGUCACUCGGUCCCCAAGUUCAAUUCAGAGCUGAGCUUAUUCACUUGAUCCCCAGGUUCAAAUCGGAGAUAAGCUUAUUCACUCGGUCCCUAGGUUUGAUUCGGAGUCGAGCUUACUCACUCGGUCCCCAGGCUUAAUUCGGAGCCGGGCUUACUCACUCGGUCACCAGGUUCAGUUUGGAGCCGAGCUUAGUCACUCAAUCCCCAGGUUCAAUUCAGAGUCGAACUUAUUCACUCGAUCCCCAGGUUCAAAUCAGAGAUGAGCUUAGUCACUCAGUCCUCAGGUUCAUUUCUUGCUCGGGUCGCUCCAGAUCGCUCCCGACUUGCUACCCAUCGACACCGAAACCCGAGCCCGAGCUCGGUCACUCGACCCAUAGGCCCAAUCCAGUGUCCGAGCCACGCAUCUCAGCCAAUCCAACGCCCGAGUCGCAUCUCGGCCAAAUCCAAUGCCCGAGUCGCAUCUCGGCCAAAUCCAGCAUCCGAGCCACGCACCUCGGCCAUCCAACACCCGAGCCACGCAACUCGGCCAAUCUAACGCCCGAGUCGCAUCUUGGCCAAAUCCAAUGCCCGAGUCACAUCUCGGCCAAAUCCAACGUCCAAGCCACACACCUCGGCCAUCCAAAGCUCGAGCCACGCAUCUCGGCCAAUCCAAUGCCCAAGUCGUAUCUCGGCCAAUCCAAUACCCAAGUCGCAUCUCGACCAAAUCCAACGUCCAAGCCAUGCACAUUGCCCAUCCAAUGCCCGAGCCACGCAUCUCGACCGAUCCAACACCCGAGUAGCAUCUUGGCCGGUCCAAACGCCCGAACCACACAUCUUGGCCGAUCCAAUGCCCGAGCCAUACCUUGCGGCCAAUCUUAUGCCCGAGUCACAUCUCGAUCGAUCCAACGCCCGAAUCACCGGCCUAGUCUGUUAAUCCAAGUCGCUCCACGUCAACCCCUGACUAGCUACCCGUCAAGUCUCUAAACCGAGCCACCCCGGCUCGCUCGCCAACUUGCAAACUCGGCAGUUGUAACACCAAGUCGUGCCAAACCCGUUAUCUAACCUACGACACGUCGGUGUCGCCUCGUCGGUUUCGCCACGUCGGUUUCGACACGUUGGUUUUGCCUCGUCAGGCCCCUGCCUCCUGAUCAGUAGAGUCGAUCUUGCACGAAGCAUGGGGCGCUACCCUUCUAAAUCGCCCCAUGACGAGUUAAUCCAACUUCCCCUCAUGAACGAUCAGCCUCACUUCGAAGUAUCAUAUAAUAAUAUUUGGGCAUGGAAAGUUAUAAUGUCCUCCAUUGGGUUAGCAUUGCCAUCGAAUGCCUCCAACGACGAUGGUGGAAGAUUGUUAGAAUCGAUUCUUCCUGAAUUUUCUAGGUGAAUGAUGAUCGACUCGAGGUGGAGUCAACCAACGCUUCCUUUUUGGAUUAUUAAAUUUUUUAUCAUAUCUCCUCUAAAUGUCGGUCCAUCUAUGAUAGUUGGAUUCGCAAGGAAUCCUUCAUCAAUUUCGUCAACCUAGCCUCUGAUUUAAGCAUGAUAGAGUCAUGAUGUGGUAUGUUAAAUUUAUGGUGAUGGAGCGAAGUACUCUCUUGACCAUGAUUGGAUAGGUUUCGGGUACUCUUAGGAUGUCAACAUUAUGUUGGGUGGGGGAACAUUGAUUGGUGGGUGAGCUAUUGGGCUAACUAGCGUAAAUGUUAGAGAUUUUAAUAUAUAGAAUAUGCAUACUUGCAAGGCAUCUCAUGUAUGUCAAUUGUUGCAACCCCUUUUUUUUCUUAUUUAAGAUCCCUUCUGUUUUUUGAAUCAUAAUUAUAUUUUAACUGUUUUUUAAUAUUUAAUUCCUUCCAUCGAAAGAAAUGAACUUGAAUAACGAGAUGAUAUAAUAAAAGACACAAUAUCAACAAAAAUUUCUCAAGACCUACGUAAAGAAAAAAAAAUUCUUUGUAAAAAGAGAAAAAGCUAUAUUAAUUAGCAAAAACUAAAAAAAACGAAGAGCCGUUAGUAGCCUCCGAGGAAGAACAAAAAGUGGGUCAGCCUAUNNNNNNNNNNNNNNNNNNNNUCAACUAUGCUAAUGAUCAUGUUAGUGCGAUGGGUUCACUCUGUCAUUUGCCUACGCAUACAAUAUAUACUUUAGAAAACACAUAUAUAUUGAAAUUGUAUAGUUCGUCGUGAUUCUUUCUAAUCCCACACCAUGUGCCUUUACCGGAUGAUGAGAUGGGACAUUCCUUGGUAUCGCAGUAAAGUCAGAGGUCAUUCGUUAGAGGAUUUAUUAUAUUAAUUAUUGAGAGAUUAUAGAUUUUUUUUUAUCUUUAUUUUUUAUUUUUAAUUCAUUACUCAUAAUAAUCUUAUUAAAGAUAAAAAGAGAAGAGAAUGGGACUACAGUAGUGUUGUUGUGGGCGACAACUAUAGCAACAUCGAUACCACUAGGGUGAUUGUUGUAGCUUGUUGCGAUCGUAGCAUUACCGUUGCUUAGGGCAACUACAGCAAUGUCAUUGCGGUAUUUGUUGGCCACGGUCGAUGUCAACUAGACGUAAAAGACCAUGAUACUCAGCGGUUGCAUGACAAACUCGUAAGUAUUAGUGGGUGCCACAAUGACUAUGUGGUUGCUAGUUGAUACAAAAUCACGUAUGGCUGCGAUGACGAUGAGGUCGUUGAUUAGUCACAUGCGAAGAGCUAUGCACCGGUAACGAAUGACUAGUGCUCCAAGUGUGGGCAUAGUGGGAUGCGAUGACAACAUGAGAAUUUUUUUUUUUUUUAAGUAUAUUUUUAUCUUGAUAUAAGAAAAUUAUAUCUCCUAAGGGCUCUUCACUGAUUUAAUCACCUGAGGAGAAGCGCAAGUAAAAUUCUCCAGCAUCAUUAGAAUCCAUGAAGUAAUAACGAAUUACGGUCAGACCUAAACAAAAGAGGAAUCUCUGUGGCGUGCACCGGUGUGCAAAAAGUGGUGGUCUGGUCAGUGUUAGCCCGAUAGGUACGGCGGGUGUGGCGUGCACCGGCCUGUUAUCCUUCCACCGUCAAGAGCGGGAGGUUAUCGCUGCUCUGUGAAACCAGCCUGACGCGGUGUCCUCCGCUUUAGGAUCCCAGAUGGCUCGGGCCUUCGUUCGGGCCACAUAGCUCAGCUGCCUGACUUGGAACGGGCAAGCCAAGUCUAGCACGACCGCACCCAACCUAUUCGGGCUGAACACAACAUCCCACCACCUUAUUGCCCCCACUCGGGUUACAAGCCGGCGUUACCGGGCUCGGCGAUCGAGGCGCUUCCACAACUUCAUAUAGCCUGUCAGUGAAUCCUAACAAUCGGCGAUGUGGGACUAAGAGCGCUUCCCCUGCUCCCUCCUUUUUCCUUUCCGAACAUUCGUGCACCGCAUGCUUUCCAGGAGAAACCCGAAUUGCAUCUAAAGUUUCGAUCAUGGUUCCCCACCACCUAAAACCAUUCCAUCCCCUUCGAACAGACCAACAGAAGAUGCCCUGCAGACCCCUCCAGAUUGCCCCACUCCUAAUCCUGAAACCUCGAAACCCAAUGCUCUCCUGCAUGUUUCGAGCUAAAUUUCUCCUACAUCAGCUGACCGCAAUGCUGUAACUUUGGUGAUGAUGAAGAGGUGUAAGCUGAUAAACGCUAUACCAAUGCCCGAACACGUAGUCGGCCUCCUCGUUGGUGAAGAGGAUCGACUUUUAGAUUGUGAAUCUGUGUCUUUGAACAUAGAUGCGCUAGCAUGUAUAUAAACCAUUACUUCUUAAUUCGAUGACAUUAAUAAAUAUAAUUGAUACGUCAUAUUUUGGCCCCGAAGAUAUGCCAAGUCAAAAUUCAUACUAAGGCACUGCUCGACACGUCUACCAUGCCAACCCCCAACGACCGACUCACGUACAGUAAUAUAAAGACCUCUUGCCAGCAUCUGGCUAGGAGGGGAAAAAAGGUGACAAAAUCAAUUGAUCACUCUACUGACUUGUUCGUCAGAGGGGCCUCGUCGGGAAUCACCCGAUGAGGGCCAUUUUUGAAGGAAAACGCAGCCACCUCACGAAGACGAGCUACCAACCACCCGAGAAUCCCCAUCCAGUGCAUGAAGGAGAGCAGCCAAUCGGUCCAAAUCCCAACCAAUGCCAACCAGUACUCCUUCCCGAGGGCAUGACCACCUCACGAAGAUGAGCUGCCAACCACCCUAGAAAAAGAGAGACGUAGCUCGGCAUACACGACGCUCGGAUCGGCACACCAAUGAACGCUGAUCAACACCUCGUCGCAAGGGCCCGGUAGACAUUGGCAUCUAGCUCAAUCAACAGAAGACUCCCGACAUCGACCCGUAGACCAGGCUGUGCUAACUCACCAGCCACAGCACAUUUGUUCACUAACAUUUUGACGCUAGAAGGAGGGCAUGUCGCAGGAGCAACUGAUAGGGGUUCUCCCCGAGGGAGAACCACCGACCGGCCUCCCUUUUGUUGAACCAAAAAGUCAGGCCCUCCCCGCCCCCGGAGACAGGAGGAUCCUGGCUUCGACGCUAGAUCGCUACUAUUGUUUGUUCAAUGACCCGGGAUUGUCACCCCCGGGGCUCACCAUAGGGCCCUCGGUCGUGACACCCGAGGCAUUCCUUAGCCUAACCAAGCAAGUACAUGCCAUGGCGGGCAUGAUGCAGAUGCUCGCUCCAAUCAUUCCUCAGAUCGUGCGGCUAGCGACGCCCCCGACCGACCCAUCCCAACAGCGACCGAACAGGGAGCAGGUCGGGACCGGAGAAGCCCAAGAGCAAGCAACGUACCAGAGAGGUCUGCCCGAGUAGAGCAUACCAGCACCCUGCCGAAUCACACCGCUCCACUCCGGUCUUCUCGAAAACUGGCGAUUCAUGAAAAGGUUCGUCCCCUGGACUCCCGGGCAGACCAAAGGCUGCCCGGCCAACCGUGCCUCCCACAGCACAGCCUACAGUUCCGAUCAAAGUAGCUCCUCGGCCGCAACCGCCUGCGUCGUGCUCCUCGGCCCCAUGUUGCCCGAGACCACACUUGCGCGGCCUGCUCGCCCGAGUCCAGCUCCUCGACCGCAGCCGCCUACGUCGUGCUCCUCGGCCCCAUGCUGCCCGAGACCACACUCGCGCGGCUUGCCCGCCUACGUCGUGUUCCGCGGCCCCAUGCUGCCCGAGACCACACCUACGCGGCUUGCUCGCCCGAGUCUAGCUCCUCGGCCGCAGCCGCCUGCGUCGUGCUCCUCGGCCCCAUGCUGCCCGAAGACCACACCCUCGCGGCCUGCUCUCCUGAGCCCAGUAACCGCUCCUGCGCGGCCUGCCCGCAUGAGGGGCCUACCACCCCUACGGCCGAGCCCAACUUGACCUACGAGUCAUACUUCGGGGUUCCUCGGACCACUCACUACUCAGUGCCACCUCUGCACAUCCAACCCUCGUCAAUUGCCAAGCUCCACGAUUCCCACGCCCUUGGCGAUGAAUCGGUCUCCGCCCGACAGAGAUAGUUCCUUAAAACCGAAGCCAUGCCUCGGACCCCCCUUACGGCAACCGACGCAUAACUUCCUUUGGGAGGGGAGUAUGAUGAGUGUGAUAAUUAUGAUAAGACUUACGUGACAUCAGCUGACGCCCCACGUUUCUGUCGGGCUGACAGCACCUGGCAAACACGGGCCGAAACGGCAACCGAGGCCCAUUAACGACUGCUCAGGCUCUAUCCCUCAUGCCACGCCAACGGCGAUGUCAGACACCGUCAGAGGUACGAUCCUACUCCCUGCGGGCAGGCACAUUAGGUAACACUAAACGUCCCUAUAAAUACCCUCGCGUUCUAAACAAGAGGGGGGAGGGGGGGGGGACAACAGAUAAACACAAACAAACUUCCUGCGACCUUCAACUAACUUGAUCGUCGGAGGGGUCGGGUCAAGCACUCCGACCCGACCCGUGUGCAGGAACGAAGAUGAUGCGACUCUCACCGGACACACCAAGCGAGGAGCCCCUUCCCGGAGGAAACGACGACCCACCUCCACGACUGAACCGACCGAGCCAGCGACCUCAGCGGUCCCGAGGAACCCCCUAUGGAGAUCCCUGUCAUCCGGACCCGAAUCGAACCGCGUCGGCCCCGAGACCACGGCUUAAGGUUGUUUACACUAACACUUACUAUUUUUUAAUAUUUAAUUCCUUCCAACGAAAGAAAGGAACUUGAAUAACGGGAUGAUAUAAUAAAAGGCACAAUAUCAAGAAAAAUUUCUCAAGACUACAUAAAGAAAAAAAAUUCUUUGUAAAAAGAGAAAAAACUAUAUUAAUUAGCAAAAACUAAAAAAACGAAGAGCCGUCGGUAGCCUCCGAGGAAGAACAAAAAGUUGGACAGCCUACNNNNNNNNNNNNNNNNNNNNNNNNNNNNNNNNNNNNNNNNNNNNNNNNNNNNNNNNNNNNNNNNNNNNNNNNNNNNNNNNNNNNNNNNNNNNNNNNNNNNNNNNNNNNNNNNNNNNNNNNNNNNNNNNNNNNNNNNNNNNNNNNNNNNNNNNNNNNNNNNNNNNNNNNNNNNNNNNNNNNNNNNNNNNNNNNNNNNNNNNNNNNNNNNNNNNNNNNNNNNNNNNNNNNNNNNNNNNNNNNNNNNNNNNNNNNNNNNNNNNNNNNNNNNNNNNNNNNNNNNNNNNNNNNNNNNNNNNNNNNNNNNNNNNNNNNNNNNNNNNNNNNNNNNNNNNNNNNNNNNNNNNNNNNNNNNNNNNNNNNNNNNNNNNNNNNNNNNNNNNNNNNNNNNNNNNNNNNNNNNNNNNNNNNNNNNNNNNNNNNNNNNNNNNNNNNNNNNNNNNNNNNNNNNNNNNNNNNNNNNNNNNNNNNNNNNNNNNNNNNNNNNNNNNNNNNNNNNNNNNNNNNNNNNNNNNNNNNNNNNNNNNNNNNNNNNNNNNNNNNNNNNNNNNNNNNNNNNNNNNNNNNNNNNNNNNNNNNNNNNNNNNNNNNNNGCAAUGACAAAAUCAACGAUGCUAAUGAUCAUGUUAGUGCGAUGGGUUCACUCUGUCAUUUGCCUACGCAUACAAUAUAUACAUUAGAAAACACAUAUAUAUUGAAAUUGCAUAGUUCGUCGUGAUCCUUUCUAAUCCCACACCAUGGGCUUUUAGCGGAUGAUGAGAUGGGACAUACCUCGGUAUCUCAGUCAAGUCAUAGCUCAUUCGUUAGAGGAUUUAUUAUAAUAAUUAUUGAGAGAUUAUAGAUUUUCUUUUAUCUUGUUUUCAUUUUUAAUUCAUCACUCGUAGUAAUCUUAUGAAAGAUAAAAAGAAAAGAGAAUGAGAUUAGUAGUGUUGUUGUGGGCGACUACUAUAGCAACAUCGCUACCACUUGGAUGAUUGUUGUAGCUUGUUGCGAUUGUAGCAUUACCGUUGCUUAGGGCAACUAUAGCAAUGUCGUUGCGGCAUUUGUUGGCCACGGUCGAUGUCAACUAUACGUAAAAGACCAUGAUACUCAGUGGUUGCAUGACAAACUCGUAAGCACUAGUGGGUGCCACGAUGACUAUGUGGUUGCUAGUUGGUACAAAAUCACGUGUGGCUACGAUGACGAUGAGGUCGUUGAUAAGUCGCAUGCGAAGAGCUAUGCAACCACGAGCGACGAAUGACCAGUGCACCAUCAACGAGGCAUCCAAGUAUGGGCAUAGUGGGAUGCGAUGACAACAUGAGAAUUUGAUUUUUUUUUUAAGCAUAUUCAACGACAUUUGUUGGUCACGGUCGAUAUCAACUAGACGUAAAAGAUCAUGAUACUCAGCGGAUGCAUGACAAACUCGUAAGCAUUAGUGGGUGUCACGAUGACUAUGUGGUUGCUAGUUGGUACAAAAUCACGUGUGGCUACGAUGAUGAUGAGGUCGUUGAUAAGUCGCAUGCGAAGAGCUAUGCAACCACGAGGGACGCAAGCGACGAAUGACCAGUGCACCAUCAACGAGGCAUCCAAGUGUGGGCAUAGUGGGAUGCGAUGAUAAUUUGAUUUUCUUUAAAGCAUAUUUUUAUGCCUCGAACGCAUCUUGAUAUAAGAAAAUUAUAUCUCCUAAGGGCUCUUCACUGAUUUAAUCACGUGAGGAGAAGCGCAAGUAAAAUUCUCCAGCAUCAUUAGAAUUCAUGAAGUGAUAUAUAAUACGAAUUACGGCCAGACCUAAACAAAAGAGGAAUCUCUCGAGUGUGGCGUGCACCGGUGUGCAAAAAGUGGUGGUUUGGUCAGUGUUAGCCCGAUAGGUACGGCGAGUGUGGCGUGCACCGGCCUGUUAUCCUUCCACCGUCAAGAGCGGGAGGUUAUCGCUGCUCUGUGAAACCAGCCUGACGCGGUGUCCUCCGCUUUAGGAUCCCAGAUGGCUCGGGCCUUCGUUCGGGCCACAUAGCUCAGCUGCCUGACUUGGAACGGGCAAGCCAAGUCUAGCACGACCGCACCCAACCUAUUCGGGCUGAACACAACAUCCCACCACCUUAUUGCCCCCACUCGGGUUACAAGCCGGCGUUACCGGGCUCGGCGA
rnacentral:lncRNA from 1 species